rnacentral:lncRNA from 1 species
CCACUUUACUGUAGAGGUAUAAAAUUAUAAACAUAGGAUACCUUGAAAAAUCAAAACAGUGAGACAGAUCUGAAAUGGCGAACAGCUUUUGCAUGCUGAGAGGAAAGUACCGAAAUUAUGAUAAAAUUGAGAGAGAGUUAGAUGAAAUUAGUUGCUUGUAAUGAUGAAGAAAUUGAGAGAGAGAGAGGAGGGGGGCGAAAGUGAAAAUGUAUUGAGAGAACAAAAAUAGAAGAACAAAGAUAAUAAAUAGGACUAAAUAAUUAGGGAGAAGAAACGAAAAACGAAAAAAAAAAGAAGCAGAAGUCAAAAAGACAAGGAGGAGAGAGACAAAGUGUUGAUUGAAUAGAUAGAGAGAGGGAUAAGAUGGUGAUGAUGCGAUAAUUUUUUGUAGCUAAAAAAGUUCUUUAUUUUCUUUUUCCUCAUUCUUUUUUAUUUUUAUAAUUUUAUACUCUAUUUCGUAUCAGUUUGUUUUGUAUAGCCUAUGAUUGGAUUAAUGGAUAUGCUCUUUUCUAUAAUCUUUCAAAAGAAAAAUAUCGGUUUGUCUCUUUUUGCCUAUUGAAAAGAUUGAUGGUAUCUUAUGUAAUUUUAUUUGCACGAAGAAUUUAAGGAGGACUUGAUGACCCUCUCCCGCAAGGGUGUUUGCAUCGGACAUGGAGCUUCAUCUAGAGAGCACUGUGUCCUAUUUUUAUUGUGGUGCCGUGUUUAAAAAUAUUUAUUUUAUUUGUUUUUGUUUUUUUUUACAUAAAAAAUAUUUAUUUUGUUAUCAUAAUUUUUUAUUAUUAUUCAAAAAAAGUUAUUGUUAAGACAUAGUAUUUGCUAAUUAGAAGGCGUUUGCUAUUGGAUGAACUGUCUUUAUAAUGAAGAUGAAAUUUGACGAUUUCCCUCUCAGAAAAAUCAGAGAUGGUUAAUCUUUAAUGGAAGAAGAUCAAAUUCAAAAAGAUUGUGAAUCAAGACAUUAAAAACAGAAAGGUAAAGGGGCAAAUGAUGAAUGAGAAUUGUGUGGGUGCGAUCGGAACUGAGGUUCACUUGAUAAAUUUUGAAAACAUUCUAAAGAGCACAUAUGAGUUUAUUUUUUUGAGAACGGAGGGCACAUAUGAGUUAUGAGGGAACCAUCUUGCAAAAUGACAAACAAGUCAUUUUCGGUGUUAACAUGUGGCAACCGUCCAUUUGUACUUCAAAUAAUAUAGUAUUAAUGAAAUUUAGUAAGGAGAGUAUAUUUGAAGAUAUGAUGUCAAGCUACAUGACUAUCAUGCACAAUACACCCGAUGCUCUGAAAAGAUGACAUUGCCCCUCAUAGUAAAGAAUAACAUACAUGAAAAGAUGAAACUAUUAUUCCAUGUGCAGAGUUGAAAAUACUAUUUUACCCUAACUUAGCAACGUCUAUAAAAGCACAUUCUCUAUAUAAGCAUACACACUAUGCAAUACUUGUACAGAAACUCUAGCAAAUUUGGUACAAGCGCGAUUUAAGCAAUUGCGAGUAUUCUUCGUUCAAUUUUUUUUAAAGAUCCAUCUUCAUAUUUCGUCUCUCCCCGUUCACCAUUACAUGUCUGAUGAGGAGUAAUAUGUGCAGAGUAGGGGAAGAAUACAAAUCAGAGAAUCAACCCACUGGCGGGUCAAAUAUGACAGAAGAGACACACUCGCCAGAGAAGUCAAUGCCAUCAGAGAAGUCGUCAUCGUCAGAAAAGUCGUCAAUACCAAGAGAAGUCGUUGCCAUCAGAGAAAAUAUAUCCGUGCCAGAGAAGCCACUACCGCCAGAGGAGACGCCCUUGCCAGAGAAGAUGUGUUCGCCAGAAGAGUCACUUCUGCCAGAGAUGUCAACAUCACCAGAGAAGACGCUUUUGCCAGAGGAGACAUUUUUUAUCAGAGGAGUUGUUAAAUGCGCGGGAAGGUCUCCCGCGUAUUAUCAAAAUUACCAGCGUACCCUUCCACCACGCAAGACGCAUGCACCGAAGAUGUUUUUACUAUUUUACCCCUCCGUCUUGUAAAUCUAUAAAUAGGGCCCAGCUCGUGUACUGUGUAUUUUACGCUCUCUAUAUUUUGAAUACAAUUAGUUGUUUUCUUUCUCGUGCUAAGGUUUCCGAUCAGCUAUUUUUACUCUUUCCAGCCUUCUCGACUAGGUAGAAUUUUAUGUUUUCCCUUUAUAGAUUUAGGUGUUGGUUCCGUAAACACCAAAAGCACUCUGCGAAAAAUAAGCUUCAAACUUCAUCUAUAACAUCAAGAUUCGAAAAUACAGUAAAAAUAGGACAACUAAUUUAGGAUUAUCCUUAAUCCCACACUGUAAUUUAUACGAAUAAGCAAUUACUACUAACUGUCACAUAAUAAAUUUUCAAGCCAAAUCCGAAAUCUCUGUAUAAGGAAAAGAAAGCAUUUUUUCCACCAAAUUUUGCUGGAGAGUGAGGGCGGUGGCCAUGGCACCUGCGGUGGUCGCCGGAGAUCGAAAGAAAAGGGUGCAGAUUUAGGGAUUUAGGGUGCGGUGGCCGUGGCUCCACCUGCGACGACGGCCAUUACCAAGGAAGGAAGGGAUGGCGAUUUUGAGGAGAGAGGGACGGACGUGGGGGAGCGGCGUUGCUGGUCUGGCGCGGCUUCGCCGGAAAAAAGACCUCCAUUGUCAAGUAUGUGAGAGAGUGAGAGGAAUCAGACGUAUUUGAUUAGAGAGAGAGAGAUAUGAGCAUUUAAGAAUGUAUAGAUAGAGAGAGAGAAAUUAAAAUGGCCAAUUUAACCCUUUUGGCAAUAAAAUAAACGAAAAUUAUAAAAAAAUUCAGUCAAAUCAAAACUGUUGGAUAUUUUAGAAUCAACGCACAUGAUUUGGUCUUCAUUCUUUAUAUAAGGGAGUGGUCUUCAUUGAACUCUCCCCUAUAUAUAUAUAUAUAUAUAGGGUUCAAUUCUAGUGAGAAGCUGUAUAUGAGAUUAAUGAACUUUACAAUAUAACUGGACGAACCCACAAAUCUAUUUAAUUUGUUAAAAAAGAUGCUACAGCCAAGAAUUGAACCCCAGAUCAACCGCGAGUUCAUAAGAAUUUACAGUAAAGUUCAUCAAAAUGUACUAACUUGUAAAUUCCUUCUCACUUCUCAACACAUUUGAGCUUCUCAAUUGAACUUUAGCCUAUAUAUAUAUAUAUAUACCGGCAGAAAAGAUGCCUCAUCGAGGACUUUUAUGUACAAGCCAACAGGCUCAAAAAAAUAACCUAUGCACAAUGCUACGUCCUACCUACCUAGCAUCUCCAUCGAUGCCAUGCUGGGUUACGGAGCAAUACAAAAAGGAACCCUGCUCUCGUACCUCAAAACGAAUACCUCAUACGGAACGAUCCAUAAGGGAUAACUGUUUCCGUCUAACAUACUAGCCAACUAUGCAAAAAGAGUCACACUAGAAAACCUAGGUGCUCGAAUGUCCAUCGUCAGCAUCAUACUCGGGAACAGGCUGAUGGUCGCCCUCUAAAUACCGUCUCGCCUCGUCCAUCGCACGCUGAAGCUGCCCGAUAGUAUCAACGGUGCUAGUGCUCCCCCUACUCUCGUCACUAGUGAGCUGCAAGCUAGCUCUGUCUCCACCCCUCGCGGCAUGCAGCAGUGUGAGUACCUCAGCACGUGUGCGAGCCCGUGGAAUCUCCUGAUACAACAAGUCUAGCGCCUCGCCUCGACGGGUGAAAGCCCUAGGAGGAAGGUAGGGACCCCUAGGUGCUACCCUAAAGAUACAGCAAACGUGCCCUAAAUGACCCGCGAACCUGAGUAAGUCACCCUCUAACUCAACAGCCCCAUACUCUCGAUAAAUAAAGUCUCAGAAACCUCUCAGUACCUGACAGUCAGGAGGUAGAGAACCACUAGACGCGAUCCCUCUAGACCUGAAUCCAAGGCAUGGGCAGAGUCCAAAGCGGUUACUGAGUAUGGCAACCCCUAUGUCGUCGUCAGCAGCUAUCCUGAAAUCUCGAUAGGCUCGAAUAGUCGCAGGGGGUGUCAGACGCGGAGCCCUAACCACUGGAGCAAACCUGGAUGUAACCAUCUGUAACAGAUGAGGGUAAGGGUGAAUAAUCUUAUACGUAAGCAGACAUAAAAAUCUUAAAGGUAAAAAUUAUAAACAUACUAUGCAUAACAAAACAUAAGUUUUAUUAUGACAACUUAUCUUAAGGUUCUCUAUCCUAUUGAACUCAAACCCCAUACCCCACAAAGGCAUACACACACAUACAAAUAUAUAUAUACAAAUAAAACACACUAUUCUUAAAAUCUAUCGUGUAGCAAAAGUCGAUUCAAUGUUCUAUCGCGUGUGAACAUUCGAACGUAGAGACUAUGCUUAAACCCCUGAUGCAACGUUUGCCUUGAAUUUGUUUUGUAUCGUCAUUAUGUGCUUUUUCUUCACCUUAUACAUAUCUUUUUAUUCGUCUCUGUGGUUCAAAAGAACCAUUGUUUUCUUGAGGGAGCUGAAAUGCUCUAAGUUCUCUUUCUCAUUCUUCUAAAUCAUCACUUCAAGAAUAUAGAUUGUAGAGAUAUCCUACUAAUCCAGCAGUCUAUGUUCUUUUGAAAUUGUGAUCAUGCAACUUAUAGCAAUCUAUGUUCUCUGGAAAACAUAUGUCUAUUUUCUAUCAUUCCUCUAAUCAUAUUAUCAUAACUGCAAAGAUAUGCCAUGGAAGGCAAAACAUUCAACAUUUCAUUCAUAGCAUGCUCUUCACAUAAUCAUAUUCAUGAAACAACUUAGAACAAUAACAUCUUUAAAACGUUGCAACAACAUUUACAUUUUUCUUGAUUGAGCACGAUGCAAUGGAGUGUUGAGCGGUGUCGUACGAACUCAUGUAAGCCUAGUGAUUCGAACUAGACUUAGCUUUUAGAAUAAGGUUUCUAGGGCCAGAGCAAACGAACUGCUCUGAUACCAUUAUAUCACAGCCCACUAUCCCUAAGGAUGGAUUAACCGGGGUUGUGACUUGGGGUGGGAAUUAAGAAGCGGGAAAGAAAGGGGAUAGUCGAACAUUUUAAGAAGACAACAUUUAAUCAACAACUAGUAUUAUAUAUAUAACUGCUUGGGUAAUUUACAAACGAUCAUGCCAUAACGACUAGACCCAAGUGAAAGUUAUUCGAAACAAAAGAGUAUUAAGUUCAAGUAGAAACGAUAACAAAGUUAGAGUGUUUUUAGCGGAAAAACGUGUGAGUUAUGCAUAUGGAGAUGCAUACUCAAGGUUUCAUUAUAUAUCCAUCAAGAGAUAAUCCGCUCAACACCAAUCCAUUCCAUCGCCUGCUCAACCUGCACAUUUAGAAAUACAUGCAGGGCUGAGUAUAAAAAUACUCAGUGGCAUAAGCCGAAAUACAAACAUGCAUACUUAUAUAAAUUGAACUGUCAAACAGUAACACACAAGGGUUUUCUUGAAUGACCUGUGCUUACUAAAACAUUUCUUUCAUUUUCAAAAAGGUGGAUGUGCAUCCCAUUUUCGGUCUAUAUGAUCCAUAUCUGUCCUUUCUAUCACGCGCCGGGAAGAAGGCCUCCUUCCACGGACGCCAAGACCGGUUUCAAGCGACUCGCGGUCUCCAUGAGUGUACACGUUAACCCGUACUAGCAUACAUUUGUCUAGCAUAGGGUCCCAAUUGGAUUUCCUUUAAAGUUGGUGAACCAACACAAAUAUGAUACAUAUAAAAACAUAAACAUUUUUUGCAGUCAAUCAUUUCAUAAACAUUUCAUUUUCAUAAGAGUCAUUUAUCAUGUGAGCAUAAUAAUAAACUGAAAUUAACAGUUACAAUCAUCUCAUUCAUAUAUUCGUAUAAGAGGCCUACGACACGCAAGGGAUCUCUAUAUACGUGGUAAAAGUAAUGCCCACCUUAUACGUUCUUAAAGCUGGCGUGGAGUCGUUUCUUCUUCAGCUUCACUUCAUGUCGCCCGGACCUUCAUUGAUGAAGAGUCGGUAAGUUCGUGAAGAAAUUGUCAUAAGACAAAGUCUAAUUCUACGUGUCUAGGGUAUCCUUUAGUGUUUUAGGGUUCUAGCAUCCAUAAAUCGUUUCGAUUAAAAUAAUAAAAAACCAACAUAACCUCGUGACUAACCAACCACAUAAUAUCACGUAAUCACAUAAACAAUAAAAAGAAAGAAAUAAUAUCCUCAAACUUAGUAUCAUCAAAAACACAAGUUCACAUAAGUAUAAAAAUCAUGCACCAUUUUUUUUAUAAACAUUCUAUACAUUUUAUUUACCAUGUAAAUAAAUAAGAAAUUCCAUUACUUAUUUACACAUAACUUAAAUAAAACAUUUUAAAUUCCAUAACAAUGAAAUUAAUAAUAAAACAUUUUAAUCCUUUAAGAAUCCAUGCUCAUAAAGCCUUGAAAACAAUUUAUAUAAAUAAUGAGCGCUUAAUCCCAAAAUAUUUAGGUCAGAAAGCGGAAACCCUAAGGCCAUGCCCGCUGCCGCCUCCCUCUCCACCUAGCCUUGCCCGCUGCCGUGAUGGAUUCCGGCCAUUCGCCUCGUAAUGGCCAUGACCGUUCGGCUCUAAACCUUCCUGCUAUAUCGAACAACUUCACGCCUCACUCGGCUGCAACACCAUCUUCUCCAGUAAACCCUAAAAAUAAAGAUAGCCUGGGUAUCAAACCUAAUCAGUCGGAUGCUGCCACCGCUGAAACCACCGGUCCGUCUUCGCCGAAGAACACCCCUACUGCUCUUAACUAUGCGGCUGCUGUGAGACCGCGUCAAAGGAAGCCGGAUCUCCCUGCCCACCGAUUCCAAGCACUUCAUGCUUCCUCCUUGGGUGGAGUCGAUACUCUUUCAAUUCCACUGGAGUUCUACAAAGAACGGAUUGCGGAUUUCAAACACGCUCUCAUAGGCAGAUUAAUGCUGCGCAAAGGCACCAAACCCAAACUUGUGCAUGAAUUAAAAGGUGAGUUACAAAAUAUUUGGAAGAUAUCUCGAAUUCAUGGCAAUUAAUUCCUAUGGGAAAAGGUUUUUUCACCCUUAAGUUCAGUUCCUUGGAGGACAAGAAAACUGCCAAGGGGAAACUCAACCUCGAUUUAUCUCAAGGCCAACUGCGACUUCGUGAAUGGGUCCCGAAGUUUGAUCCAUACAAAGAAUUCUCCUCCAUGGCGCAAGUGUGGGUUCGUAUCUACUAUUUGCCAAUUGAACUGUGGCAUCCGGAGGUUAUCUCGGCGAUUGGAAGGUACUUGGGUAAUCCAAUUCGCAUUGAUGGAGGAUCGGCGGAUAGAGAUGUGGGUCAUUAUGCACGUGUCCUUAUUGAACUUGAUCUCUCCCUACCUCUAAGGGAAUCUUUAAUGAUUGAAGAAGAUAAUAGCUCUAUCUACGUUGAGUUCUCCUAUGAAGCGUUGCCCCCGUUCUGUCAACAUUGCAAACUGACCGGACAUCUCAUUGAUAAGUGUCGGAGAUACAAAUCUAAAGAGACCAAAAAAGUUGAUUCGGAGAAGAAAAUUGAGCCAAGCAAUACCGUACGCCCCAUGCAGACGAAGGAGAACUCGAAAAAACUUUCACCGGAGACUGAGAUUCAGAAGGGGCUAGUUUGGCAGCAGAAACAGCAACUGGAGCCCGAGACUAUUACAGAGACUAGAUGUCAGGCGAAAGUCCUCUCGCCAAAGAAAUCGGUCAUGCCGAUGUCGACUCCAACCAACAAUACUUUCGAAGUCUUAGAGGAUCUUGAGAUAAAUGAGAAGAUGAAGGGCACGGACAUGCUCGAACUGGUGGAUGAGCCCAGCUCGACUUUAAAUCAUCUCAUUGUCAUUGAUGAGGAGCAGAAUCAUGAUCCGGAAAUUUGGAAAGCUGGAGUUUCUACGGAUAAUAACCCAGAUUUGAAAGCUCUGGCGAUAGAGAAUGCCAUGAAAAUUCAAAAAUUGGAAGCUUACAUCCAAGAACAAGAAGUUGCCAAAAGAAGGGGUAGGCCUCCGGGCAGCGGUCGUGGAGGCAAAACCCUUCAUACCCCAGCAGCUGACUCUAUUAAACAUAGGCUCAGGAAAUCAGCGAAAAUGGGAGAUAAGGUUCAGAACUAUAUUAUAGAAGGCCCAGAAAGGCCGAGUUUGCGCACGAUGGACAAUAUGGCUGCUAAAAGCUGGGCGGCGGAAAUGGAGAGGGAGGAAACUCCUUCUCCACACUUUUGAACGUUCUUAUGAAUGUGAUUGUUUGGAACGUCCGGGGCUUCACGGACGAAUCCAAACUGCUUUUAAAGGAGCAUUGCCGCUCCUUUUCUCCGAUUAUUGUGGGUAUUAUUGAACCCAAGAUUAAUUUACAGAAAGUUUCGAUGGGUUUUUGGCGCUCUCUUAACCUCACUCCGAGACACCAGAAUAACAGAAUUCCUCGGCGUCCUAACAUCUGGUUACUUGCUCAACCCAAUGUUAUCACUAAUGUCGUGUUCUCCUCGGCUCAAACUAUUGUUGCAGAGUGUUCUUGGCAGAACAAGUGCUUCCGUGUGGCUGUGGUUCAUGGAGCUAACGACUCGUUGCUCAGACGGGAUCUUUGGUAUGACCUUCUCCACUUUAUUAAUGGAAACACCUUUUUUAUGGGGGACUUCAAUGCUGUAAAGGGCGCGCAUGAACGUCUUAGCUCUAUUAUGCCCUCUCGUGCCUCUUGUUUGGAUUUUUGUAGAUUCAUUGACGACACGGGCUUUCUGGAACCCCAUGCAACGGGACUUCAGUUCUCCUGGUCUGGUCGAAGAUUUCUCCCUUCACAUGUUGAAUCUCUGCUGGAUAGGGCCUUAGUCUCUCCCUCUUUUUCGGACCUCUGGAAUUCUGUGACUACGAAUGUUCUUCCCAGACUCACUUCCGAUCAUUCCCCCAUCGUGCUUCAAUGCACCCCGUCCAUCAUUCCUGGGAGAAGGUCUUUUCGCUUUCUUAACAUGUGGACUACCCACCCGGAUUUCUUGGAGGUAGUGAGGUCUUCCUGGAGGGAAGAUAUUAACACUCCCUGCCCUAUUCUCACUGUGAUGUUGAAGCUUAAGCGUCUUAAGGGGGCGCUUCGGGUUUGGAAUAAAACGGGCUUUGGUAAUGUGGACACCAAGAUCGCGGAGCUUCAGCAGGGCUUACUUAACACUCAAACCCGCAUUUCUAGAGAAGGAUAUACUGAUGCUUUGUUUGAUGAGGAGGUCGCGAAGCAGGCAGAGAUCAAUUCUUUGCUUUCUCGAAAGAAUACCCACUUGCAGCAGCUCAGCAGAAUCUCUUGGCUUCAAGAUGGCGAUAGAAACACUACUUUUUUCCACAGAAUGUUGAAGUAUCGCAAGUCUGGCUUGCUUAUUGGUCAUCUUAUUAUUGGUGGGGCGCAUGUUUAUGAUCAAGUUAGUAUUGAGAGGCAUAUUGUGGACCACUUUACGAGCUUGUUCUCUCAAGGAACGGCGGAGGAUGUGGAUAUUGUUGAGUUGGAGGCUAACCUUGAUAUGAAAGUCACUAUGGAGCAGAAUAAUGAGCUGAUCGCUAUCCCUUCGGACUUAGAGAUUGUUGCGUCUGUUCGUAGCAUGGAUGCACAGAGUGCCCCGGGCCCCGAUGGUUUUUCGGGAACUUUUGCACUAGAAGGGUUCGUCAAGGUGAUCCUCUCUCUCCCAUUUUGUUUGGUAUCGCAGAGGAUUUACUCAGCUUUCUGUUCAUCAAUUGCAUGAACUCUAGACACCUUGUCCCUAUGAGUUAUAGUCGACGUAUGGACUUUCCGACGCACCUCUUAUACGCGGACGAUAUCUUGGUCUUCUGCAAAGCUUCGGUUCGAAAUGCUAAGAAGAUUAAGCAUAUUCUUGAGUACUAUGGCAGAUUGUCGGGGCAGGUGAUAACACUCAUAUUUCCAUGGUUUUUAAUGUUCAUAUGAUGUCAUUUUUAUAGGGAAUUGAGUGUUGGAUAGUUGUUUUGUGCUUAAUUUGCUUUAUCUUGUGAAACAUGAUUCUUACUCGAACUUAGAAGGAAUUUUCAGAUUUAUUGAGUUCGAAUUUGGAACAAUGUUCUGAAAUAGAAGUUGUAGAUCGUCUCGAUACGAGUUCGUGAGCGCAAACGGAUCAUAAAUCGGAGUUCGGACGAGAAAGUUAUGGUUGAAACAAAAACGUCGCGCGCAGCAGUCAAAAUUCGGCGACCCAGACGGCGACCGCCGGCCAGGUCGCCGAAUUCCCUGUUUCAAUUUUGGCCUCCGGUGGAAAAUUCGGCGAUCGCCGAAUCUUAGAGCAAAAUGGCCAUUUUUCGGCGACCCAGACGGCGAUCGCCGAACGGGUCGCCGUUUUUAGGCGUGUUUCCGUUUCCUUCCGCGUUUUUACGUUUUUCCAAGUUAUUUUCGAGCUCAAACUCUGUAUUUUACCCUGACACUAUAAAUAGGUCUUCUUUUGACCUAUUUUGGGUUCCCAGUUCCCCUUUUCAGUUCCCAACUUUUAUUUUUCAAUUUCAUAGCUUUAGAUUAUUAUUGCUUUCCAGUUUUUACAGCUUGGAUUGGAUUUCCACAAGAUUGAAGAUUCAAGCCGCUACAAUUAUUUUACUUUCAGUUUUUAUAUAAUUCAGUUUUUACAAUUGUGUUCUUUUUAAUCAUGUUUAUGUUUUAUUUUGCUAUGUCUGGCUAAUUUCCUUUAGCUGAUUCUAGGGUUUGUAAAUAGUUGAUUGAAUUUAUGUGAUUUAUUUGUUAAUACCUUUGUGCCUUCCAGUUUAUGAUUCAUGAUUCCUGGUGCUUAAUUUCUUGUGAAUUAUUUGGCCAAUAAUUUACAUGUCUAGCUGUUCAGUUUGAGUCUUGAAUGCGAUAAUUGUUCAGCCGAUUCAGGAAUGCAUGAUAUAGUGUUAGCCUUGAGUCUUGAAUGCGAUAGGUGAAGCUAUAGGGAGCUAUUCUUUGUGUACGCUUGGGAGUUAAUUUAUUCCUUGGAAUCUUGAAUGUGAAGGGGGUAAAUUAAUCUACUUUCAUAGGUGUUCGUUAGAGAAGCUUGUGAAUAGUUGUGUGAUCUCUCAUCAUAACUGGAUUAAACUGGUACAUAGGAUUAAUAGAUUUAUUGCAUAGAUUUAGUUAAUGAAUUUACUGCCCUAGGAUCAGUUGUCUUUAAUAUUUGAAUUCGUCUACAUACUUUUAUUUAUCGUUAUUUGCGUUUUAGUUUAAGUAAAUCAAAUUCUCUACAUUCGGUUGCCUGUCUACUGUUAAAGUCUGUUUAGGAGAUAGCUAGAGUUAUUUCGAUUUCAGUCCCUGUGGAUACGAUACUCGAUUACUGUUUAUACUACAAUUACCCGUGUUAGUUGCAGUUUUUGUUGCUAAGAAAUAGUGAUCAACUUUUUGGCGCCGUUGCCGGGACUGAUUAGAAGUUACUUUAAUAUUUCCGAUAGGACUUAGUAGUACUUCAGGCUUUUACUGUUUCUUUUUAUUUUUAUUUUUCUAAUACUCGUUUUUUUUUCAGGCACUGCAUACGAUGGCUACUGAUGAACAAAUUCGUGCUCUACAGGAGCAGCUGCAACAGCUGUUGGACGCUCAAGCUGCUAAAGAAGCUCAGAAUAAGCCUCCGAUUAAUGAGGCAUUCAUACCGCAGUAUGUGUACCAGGAGCCCCCACGAGUGAACGUAAACAACUUUGAGCUGAAAACGGGUUUGAUCACGAGGGUCCAACAGAGCCAAUAUGGUGGACAAGCAAUCGAAGACCCUAAUGCGCACCUGGCGCAUUUCCUGGAGCUGUGUAGCACGGUGAAGAUGAAUGGUGUCCCUGAUGACAUUAUCCGUCUUCGUCUUUUUCCCUUCUCACUGCGGGAUAAGGCGAAGUCGUGGUAUCAUACGCUGCAGCUGGGAGAGAAUAUCGUGUGGGAGGACUUAGCUCAUGCGUUCCUACGCAAGUUUCAUCCGCCUGGCCUUACGUUGAAAUUGAAGAUGGACAUCGUGCAGUUUCAACAGUACGAGGGAGAGAAGCUAGCGGAGACUUGGGAGCGGUAUCAGGAGAAGCUCAGAAAGUGCCCAGGUCAUGGAUUUGAUGAAGGCACGCUAGUGAUAAUGUUCUACAAUGCCUGCGGGGAGCGUACAAGGAUGCACAUGGAUACAGCUGCAGGUGGCUCUCUACUUCAAAAGAGCAGUUCUGAAGCAUGGAGCAUCAUUGAUAGUAUGGCUUCUACGAGCUACCAAUGGCCAUCUGAGCGAAUACAAUUGAAGAAGGUUGCAGCUGCAUCCAGUUCUGAUCCUAUGGCAGCAAUGGUUACUCAACAAGCAGCGAUGGCUACACAGCAGGCAGCGAUUGCUACGCAGCUGGCAGAGCUGACUACUAAGAUUAAUGCUUUGACCAUUGGAAAUCAGGAGCAAGCUGUGAGAGAUCCCAUAUGCAUAGAAGUACGUAAAUUUUGUCAAUGGACCAAAACUAUGGAAAUUUCCAGNGUUAUCAGUUAAGUCACUGGAACUUAACUGAUGACACGUUAAGCUUCAGUCGAGUUUGCUAAAACAGAGUAUGUUACAAGUCUUCCUGUCUAAUCAGAGGAUAGAUCAGUCAGACUGAUAACAUACGCAGUGAAAUAACUUGUUUCGUAAUAGCCUUUGUUGAGCACGUUGUUAGUCUUAGGUUUCUCUUUGCAUUUAGUCAGUGUUCAGUUUAUCAAUGGAAAGAGCACAAGUAAGAAUGUAAAACUGAAAGCUGUAAAUAACACAUAGAUUUUUACGUGGUUUGGAAAACACUUCCUACAUCCACGGUCGGUUGAUCAGACCAACAACUUUACUCCGCAAGUGCUUAACUGGUGCACUGCAAACCUAUCCGUGUGCUUAGCCGGGUGCACACAACCGAAUCAACUGAAGAUCCAAUCUUCAGUACCAACACUUCACUCGCGUUGGAUUUUCCACUCCUAGCACGAACCUGCACUAGGAUCUCACGGAGUCAGAGUACCUUCCUGAACUCCUUUUCAACUCAAACACUCGAUUCAGCAACUCGAAGGGAGGUUUGAAAUCUUUGCCAACUAAACUUCAAAGAACAAGUUCUUUGGAGUUAGUUUUGACCUAGGCUUUGGGUAAACAGAGGUUUGCCUAAGGUCUAAGAGAAUGUGUGUAAUCAGCAGUGACUGAUUUUGGCUUUGGUAUUCUCUUCUUCGAUUCAAGCUUUGGAGAGAUUAAGCUUUGGCUGAGAAAUAAUUUUGGCAGAGUUUCAGCUUAUGUCGUUGAAUCGGUGAAGAUUGAAGUGAUCCUCGAGCGCUAUUUAUAGGAGAAGUCUUGAAUAGAUCCGUUGGCGGAGAACGUCUUCAAGAUUUCUUCCGUUGGAGAGCUUUUCGAAUUUGGGCUGAGGCUUCAAUCUUCGAGGUUCCUUGUUUGGUGAGAACGGCUAUGUUGAAGAGCAGGAGAUUUGACAUCUCUGAUAAAGUAGCCACCAAAUAGGAAUGACCUCUGCAGAGAGGGAUGAUCCUGAGAUCUCUGCAUUUAAUGCGGCUGUACUUUUUGGAGUACGUGGCUUCCUUUGAACGUUGGAGGUUCAGUCCGAGGAAGAAUGUUUAACUGAUACUUGACUUUAGUAUCAGUCCGCUGAAUCCACGUGGCACGCAUUAAGUAAUCAGUUCCGAACUGAUUCUUCAACUGAUACUUCAGUUGGUAACUCCAGUCUUCAGUCUUCAGUCCUUCGUCUUCAGAACAACAAACUAAACUAGAAAAGAACUCUAACACUUGAUUUCGAACAGUUCUAGUCUGUUACAAUUAAGGCCUAUGAAUUUUGGUAUCAUCAAAACAAGGAUUAAGAUAUUUUAAUAAUUUCCCAACACGUUAUUUCAUGCAACAAAAAGAACACUUCUACUAUUAGGGUUGUAUACGAACCGAGCCGACUCGAAUACCUUCAGGCUCGGGCUCGGUUCGUAAAAUUUUUAUUAUGUUCAAACUAGGUUCAAGUUGGAAUCCAAGCCUUAAAUUGAGCUCGAGCUCGACUUGACAGAUAAAUAUUGAGUUCGAGCUUGUUUCGAAUUUGACUCGAUAAUUAUUCGAUUAGAGCGAGCUCGAGAUCCACAUCGACUCGUGUUUGGCUUGACAAUUUUUCGUGAAAUGUUACUCGAGCUCGAAUUCGAUCUCGGCUCGUGAAUAAAAUAUAGAACUUGUUAUUCGAGCUCGAGCUCAGGCUCGAUUGAUAACUAUUUUCAUCUAAUAUAAUAUUUUAAUUUUUGUUUAUUUUAACUUUUAUAUAUUACUCCCUCCGUCCCUGAAAUAAGUUCCUCUUUUUCCUUUUUGGGACGUCCCCCAAAUAAGUUCCUCUUUCUUUUUUUCCAUUUUUGGACAACUACCCCACCACUAAUAAUACUUUAUUUAUUCUUACUUUUCACUUUUUCACCACUCCCAAUACUAAUUAUAACACUUUUUCACCUUUUCACCACUCUCAAUACUAAUUAUAACAUAUUUUUCUCCACUAUAAAUACACUUUACUAUUUUUUCUUAAAACUCGUGCCGUCCCCAAAGAGGAACUUAUUUUGGGGACGGAGGGAGUAUAUAAUACUAAAAAUAUAUAUGAAUAUUCUUAUCUUAUUAAACUGAGAUUUUAUUAAAAAAGGAAAAGAAAAAACCUAAAAAAACCCUUGAAAACACAAGAAAAGCAGACUAAGGGCCGAGCCUCAUUAAAACCUUUUUACAGAAAAUCCAAAGGGAAAAACCGUAAAGAAGAAAAAGAGUACUCGUCUACCAGACGAAAACAAAAAAAGAAAAGAGCGGAAAAGAAAGUUACCAGAGCUCCGACCGAACCAUCGCCCCCAAACAAUCUAGGCUCACACCCAAACAAACAAACAAAAACACAGAAGGCAGAAGACCGAUGAGACACCGUCGCUUCUGCCAACUACCAACAAGCCCAAACAAAAGAAGGGAGACUACACGGCCGGUUAUACGCCGUCGCCGUUAGCACCCCCAAAAGAAACAACCAACCCAACCCCGCCAAAACCCAGCAGCAAGGGUAAAUACAUGACCGGUGAGACGCCGUCACCGUCAACACCCUCACUGCCGACCAGAAGCUAAAAACGCAGCAAGAGCUCUGCGCUCAACGCUGACUCUGCACAAAACCAGGAGCUCAGCUCUGGCAAACUACUACUGGCAUAGAAAAACUGCUCUGCUCUAAACAUCCAGCUCUGGAAAGACUAGAGCUGAAGCCAUGCUCUGCUCUGACCUCUGGAUGCCGAAUGCUCUGCUCUGUCGAAACGGCUCUGCUCUGGCAAACGGCUCUGCUCUGCUCUGGCAAAACGGCUCUGCUCUGGCGAAACAGCUCUGCUCUGGCAAACGGCUCUGCUCUGACCAAUCAGCUCUGGAAAGUCCAGAGCUGAAUCCAAUUAGCUCUGCUCUGGCGAAACGGUCUGCUCUGCUCUGCUCUGGCGAAACGGCUCUGCUCUGGCAAAUGGCUCUCUGCUCUGGCGAAAUGACUCUGCUCUGGCGAAACAGCUCUGCUCUGGCAAAUGGCUCUGCUCUGACCAAUCAGCUCUGGAAAGUCCAGAGCUGAAUCCAACUUCUGAUCUGUCCACUGAGUUCUGAAGGCUCUGUUCUGAAACACGAACAGACCAGAACACCAAUGCAAAGCCGAGGUCUGAGCAGCGAUCGCAAAGCAGAAAUUCUGGAGACUCCAAUUAUCGAAUUUGGCGAACAUAACUAUGGUUGGAGAUGUCGCGGCGCACCGCUGUCUUGAUGAUGUCAAUUUCAAACGGCCACCACCCUUCCUCCAUACUAUCGGCGUCUAAAAUGUCAGCAAUGGUAUUGCCUUCUCUGAAAAUAUGUGUAACAUGAAGAUGAAAAUGCUAAAGUAAGACAAGAAUACGCUUCCACAAUGCCAGGAAAUGCCAAGGCACCAACGAAGAACGUUCUUGUAACAGACGAACGACAUAAGUAGAGUCAGCCUCCACCCAAAGAUAGUGCCAUUGUCUAUCAUGAGCAAUUUGGAUCGCCGUGAUGAUCACAAGCAACUCUGCUUCAAAGGCAAAUCCUAUCCCGCCUUUCUUGUGGAAGCAACCACGCACCACACUAUAUUUAUCCCGAAAAAUGCCCCCAGCUGCAAUCUUACCCGGUGCCUAGGGUUGUAAAUGAAUCAAAUAUUUUUGUUCGAUUCGAGAUUAGAUUCGAAAUUGCCCUAUUCGUAUUCGAAAUUAUUCGAUUCGAUUCGAUUAUUAUACGAAUACGAAUAUGAAAUUAUGAUAUUUGAUUCGAUAUUCGAAGAUAUUCGAUUCGAUAUAUAUAUAUAUAUAUAUAUAUAUAUAUAUAUAUAUGUAUAUAUAUAGGGGAGAGGUUCAAAUAAGAACCACUAAUUAAAAUUAGAACAGAGAACCAUUUUAAGCCAUUCGAUCAUCAAGAUCUACGGUGUAUGCAUCAUCUUGGUGAAUGAAUGCAGAUCCUGGGUUCGAAUCCUGAAGGGAGCAAAAUUUUAUUAUUUUCGGAUGCAUUAAAUUUAAUAGCGAAUGCAUUAAUUUAUAUAGCAGAUGCAUUGAUUUUAAUGGUUCUUAUGUUCUCACGAUAAGUGUGGUUCUCAUUAUAACUGCACCAUAUAUAUAUAUAUAUAUAAGUUUCUAGUGCAUUGCAUGAGUGCAAUUGUUAGUUUGUUGAAACCGGCAACUUUAUAUAAUAUAAAUAAAAAGAUUAUAUAAAUAUUAUAUUCUGAUUUUAAAUUGAUAUUUAGAAAAAUAAUAACCCAGCUUGAGAGUUUAUUCGAGUUAACUAAUGAAAUCUCUUUUUCAUAUAUACAAAAGACUGAUAACAAAUUAAAUCACAAGCUCAAGUGUCGAAAUUUAUCGAAUUUUUGUCAAAUGAAAUUUCGAGUAGCUCAAGGGAUAACUCAAUACAUCUCCGAGAAUAUACAGUUUAAUUUAUGUAUGCCAAAAAUAGUAAUGUGGACCCAAAAUAUUUCAUGUCAAUAUCACAAUGAUAGAUACAGAAAUAUUGAAUUCAGCGAUUUGGGAAAUCAACAAUCAUGAAAUAUUCAUUUUGUGGGCAGAAUUUUAUACAGCAGAUUGGUAUGGAGUCUAUGGACCGAUGUCGACCUCUUAAAAUUGGACGGACUCGUUGCUGAUAGGAACGAAUUCUAUCACAUAAACUUUGAAAAAUAUGAUUUUGUGAGGAACAUGUGUAUAACAAUUAGUACUGUGCGUCUUUGCAUUGACGCAUAAGAAAGUUUUUUUUUGAUCGGAAAAGAUAAGUUGUAUUAAAUCAAAAUGGCACCAGAGGUACCACAAGAGGCCACAAGAAAAAGAAGAGAAACAAGAAACAGAAAAGGUGGAGCACGGACUGUAUCCAGCAACCUCCCCAAAAACAGCCAAAUGAAGAAAAAAAAGAGAACCAAAGUUAAACGGAGAGAUGAAAGACGACAUCCAAACCCCAAGAUGGCAGAAUAGUGUGUGCCGAAAACAGUCUAGCAAAAACUAGACAGAUAAGCAGGGGGCCAGAGAGAAAUCCGGAGAACACCAGAGGUCGAGGCAAAUCCCAUCUUUCAACAUUUUAAACGAAGAAAGCCAGCUCCAUAAUCUGACUUUAGCUUCCAGAACAAGGUUUUUGACUUCACAAAAUUUAUCUUCGAAUCUGCUUUCGUUUCUUUUUUUCCAGAUGAGCCAAAUAACACACAUCCACAAUGCUUUAAGGAUUUUGCGGCAUCUCUUACCUCUACCUUGAUGACAGAAAGAGAUGAAGUGGUGUUCCACGCCACUUGGUCUAGCCGUAUUGAAGCCGAUCAUUUUUAUUUAUUAUUUUGUAUUGUAUUUGUUUUGGUAUAAUAAAGAAUUUAGGCAAAGCAUGUCGUUUAAACUUAUCUCUGAAUCGGAAUAGCAGUGCUAAUCCUCCUGACGUACAAAACCUACAAGAAAUCUAUUCUUAAUAGGUCUCUUAAAUCUAAACUUAAGUCACGGUAAAGUACUUAACAUUCUAUGAUUCACUUAGCCGGGUUUUCAAAAUUUAUAGAAAAAAAAUUGAAAACAUUUCUCUUGAGUUAAGAACACCAACAAUAUUCUUACUCAUCCUUCUUUUGUAAUUGGAAUUAUAAAUAAAACCAAUUAAAACAUGAUGCAAUGCAUGGCUCAUUUCAUACUUAAGCAUAUAAGAAGUGUUUAAAAAAAAAAAAAAACACAAAAUUCUAGUUCGUUCUGCUCUGUUACGUUAACCAGCUCUGGUCUCUACCAGCUCUGGCUUGCCAGCUCUGGCCUCGAGCUCUGGCGUUCAGCUCUGUCUUUCAGCUCUGGCCUUCAGCUCUGGCCUUCAGCUCUGGCCUCUCAGCUCUGGCUUUCAGCUCUGGCCUUCAGCUCUGGCCUUCAGCUCUGGCCUUUCAGCUCUGGCUUCAGCUCUGGCCUUCAGCUCUGGUAUUCAGCUCUGGCCUUCCAGCUCUGGCUUUCAGCUCUGGCCUUCAGCUCUGCUCUGCCCUUUCCAGCUCUGGCCUUUCCAGCUCUGGCUUUCAGCUCUGCUCUGGCCUUUCCAGCUCUGGCUUUCAGCUCUGCUCUGCCCCCGAGCUCUCUCUCUCGUCUACUCUGCUCUGCACUCAUCUCCUUGCUCUUCUCUCCCAAAUUCAGUACAGCUCACGACUCCUUCUUUCUCAACCCACCAAGUCAGUUCAUGCCGAUCACCUUCUUGGCAACGGUGAAGCACCGUCACCUCCCUCUGUUUCCGGCGACCGCAGCGAGCUACGGCCGCCACCCUCAACUCACAUCCAAAACUCGACUGAACCACCCAAAACUCCACAAAACAACACACUCGAAGAUCGAUUUUCAGUAACUUAAAUCAAAACUCUACCUUUAUCCUUAUUCUUUUAAAACUUAUGCAGCAAAAAUAAAGACAUAUAAACACACAAAAAUCAAGAACAUGAAUUUGGAUUUCUAAAUUGAAAAGUGAAGGGAAGAAGCAAGGGAGUUAAAGGUGGAACCUUUAGAGGUUUGAUCAAAUACUCGGUUGCUUGAAAUCGAUGGGCUGCUGUUCUUGCAGCUCCGUCCGACGUGUUGGAAUGAGAGAGAAAUAAGUGAAAGAGAGGAGAUGAUUUACGUGAGCAGCGGAGGAGAUAGAUAUAUUUGAAGAGGGGGAAUAGUGAGGCGGUGGAGAUGGAGAAAAAUAUCUAGGAAUCAAGAUGGGUUGGGCUUUGUCAAGAUUGGUUUGGGCUCUCAUUUAUCAACCAAAGGUAAAUAAACAUAAGGCCCAAAAGAAAAAUAAAUAAAACUCAAAACACAUAAAUGCUUGAAUGUUUAAUUAAAUAAAUAUGCUAAGCAUAUAAAUUUAAUUACUAAAUUUACAAAUGCUUUUGUAAAUCAUUUUUGUUGGAAUUAAAAUAAAUUCUUUUUCUCAAUCCGGCGUGAAUCAUCUAAAUUCUAAGUUCAAAAAUUAUUCUAAACUUAGCUCGAGGAAACGGGGUAUUACAUACCCAACCCACCAUAGGCCCAUUUAAGGCCCGACCUAUCCCCAACCCGAGCCCACUAAACUUGUGGUCUUGAACCGGGUUGGGUUAGAGAUUUUUUUAAAAGCCCUACCCAAGACCAGCCCGUUCCAACUGUGUUCCUGAGCCGAAUUGGGUCUAACUUUCUACAUGCUUGGGCCUUCCCGACCCAGUUGACAACUCUAAAUGAGACCACAAGGUCUCUUUAAAUUUUAGACAAAAGAUAGGACACUUGGCACUAUUUGAUUGAUUAUGUAUAUUUUAUUUAGAUAUUAAGAUAAAAAGUUUUUUUAUAUACUUUAUUAAUAUAUAUAUAUAUAUAUAUAUAUAUCAAAAUUCAUAAUUAAAUUUCUCUAUAAAUGGAGACCACAUUUGCUAUGUUAUUAAUUUAGUUUGUGAUGUUUUGGUAAUGACAUAUUUUCUAUUUAUAGGUCAAUUUUACAUUUUGAUAUUUUAGUAUUUUUUAUUAUAAUUAUAAUUUUUUAUUUUUAUUAUAUGUAAUUCUUAUGCUUAAAAAAAUAUAAAUGUCAUAUAUGGUUGAAUGAUUGGAUUGAUCAUAGAUAAAUAUCUCAAAAUGAGUAUAAUUGGGUUGAAAUGAAUAUUGGCGAUGUGGAAGAGAGAGAAAUCAAUUAAAUAUUAAAGACGUUAUUAGAUGAUGGGGUGAUUGAAAUAUUGGUUGUUGUUAAUGAUAGUCUUAGUAUAAUUCAAUAAUUAAUGGGUGGGCAGUGGGCCUUGAAAAUGAACUACAUUCAAGAAAUUAACAAAUGUUUAAGAGCAUAAUCAAUUUAGAGGAAAAAAGUUUUUUUUUUUUUUUAAAAAAAAACAUUCCAUGAAAAUAUUACUUGCAAACUAGGUUGAAUCUAGGGUGUUUGAACAUUAUUACUAAACGAAUUCAAUAAUUUUUGUAAUGAGUAUAUUACUAAAUAUUUUAAAUUGGAGAAGGCUUAUUUUAUGGACUAUAUAUAAGAUCACAGAAAAGCUCCCGUAUGGAAGAACUGAAUCGAACUUGAACUCGAUACAAUUUGAUCCACAAAAAGUGAAAAGUAAGUAACAAUUAUUUUAAAGAUCAAAAUUAAGCAUCCCUCUUAUUAUGAAGGAAACUAAAAAUUAAUAUUGAGUUGGUGUGGUAUUAAAGAAAUAAAUGGGUUGCAAUUUUGAUGGUAUGAACAUGAUCGAAGGAGGGAUCAAAUUGUGUCCCUAUCUUGAAAUCUUAUGCAGUUUUGAAGAAAAGGUCAACUUCAACAUUCAGUGUUUUAGUUUGAAGGGGAACUGCAAUACCAAUACCAAUACCAAUAUGUUUGUUUUUGACAAUGACAAUAUUAAUUUAUUUUCCUCCUACAACUAUUUAUUUAGCUUUCUCUAGCUUGUUUUGACCUUGAAUGGAGGAAAUCCAAAUUCAAGAAUUUCAAAUGAAUGGAUCUAUGUAUACACAUCUAAAUACAAAUGGGUUCCAAGUCAUCCACAUUAGUGGAAAAAUUAGUUCACAAUAAAUAAGAUACUUUAUAUGCGCUUUAUAUGUAUACUAGGUUUCGCUUGGAUAGAUGCAUGGCUAAGAAAUUUAGAGAGAAUUCUGAUAAAUUGAUUUUUUUUUUCACCACUUUUGGAAGUCCUUUGUACUACUAUAUAUAUAUACGAUGUGGAUCUUGUAACAAAAAAAUCAUUUUCUAUUAUUUGGAUUGGUUUGAUUGAGCAUUCGAAUUUCUAAUUUAAUUGUCAUUCACAAAACUAAUAGUAUGAAAAAAGUUAUAUUACAUCUCUAUUAGUAAUGUAUUAUUUAUAUAGGGCAAAAUAUGUAGUCGAAAUGCCUCAAAACUAUCACAUUUAGUUUUAAUUUCUAUCAUGUACUGUAUAUAUCGACUUUGAUGAAUUAACAUUCAAACUAUAAGUCCUAUGCAAAUCUCACAUAUAUAGUACCUGAUCAAAGCUAGGUGAUCAGUAGGAAUAUCCUAACUAUGAUGUUGGAUUAAAAGAAAAAACAAUAACAUUGUUUUUCCAUGCAUGACUAUUUCAUCUUUGAUUGUCUUAUAUUGCAACGCCUAACGAUUUUAUUAAUUUUUAUUACAACUUUUAAGGUUUAUCAAUUAUGAAUUGUGACGUGGUGCACUGACAACAACAUGUUAUUUUGUCCAGAUAAUUAGUUGUAUAUACACAUGUGGAUAGUAAUAUUCUACGUUAAAACGCGUAUCAUCCUCUACAUCUAGAUUAUCUUCAUAAUCAUGAUCCAAGUUCACUUCAAAAUCCAAUUCAUGAUCAACCCCUACAUGCUAAAAAAAAUUAUUAUUUUUUUAAGAAAUACUAAUUCUUAAAAAAAGUUAUUGAUAUAAAUUGAAAAGAUUGUGAUAGAAUUGACAAGUUGUAAAGAUUAAAAUCGAAUCCAUAAAAGACACUAAAAUUGAAAUUAAUUCGAUCAUUUAUAUAGCAAGUAAAGAUAUAAGAAUAGAAGUGAAGUCGAGUGAGAAUGUAGAAUUAAUUUUUGUCGUGACUAUGUUGGGUAGCCCCAUUUGUAACAUGAUUAGGCUUUCGGCGGUGCUUCAACUAAUCAAGUUGCCCUAAACUUUUCUUUUGAACUUUUUGCAGUCUAUGUUCUAAAUUUAUUAACUCAUCAUCAAAUCAGCAAGAAAUAUUGGAUUGAUUGUGACACCAAAAAUUUAAAUUUUAAUAAAUUAAAGCCUACCGAAUUGUGUGGACGGGAUUAUGUUCUUCGCCAUAUAACGCGUAUAAAAGCAACUUAAGUCUUGCAAAAUAAUUAUUUCAAAUCAGGAAUUAAUUGGUUACACCUUAAAAUUAUUCAUAUGGUCAUAUUGGGGAUUCAAUCUCAAUAUUUGAUUGAAUCUCAAUAUUUAACCCUUCAUCUUAAAAAUACAAAUUUUGACCAUUUUUUAUGAUUUCGAACUGUAUUGCCCUUAAUUUGGGCGCACCAGAUUGGGUUGGGCGCAGAUUCGGAUGGUAUUUUUGACACUAAUGUUAUAAUUUGUGCCAAAAGUACCAAGUUAUGGAGAAUAAAAAUAUUUCAAGUAAUUUGGUACUUUUGGCGCUAAUAUUAUCAUUGAAACAAUAGGGCCGGAUGGCCCUAUUGGUGAUUGAAACUUAAAUUUUGUCCAUAAAAUUUGAAAUAUCAAUAUUUGGCCAUAUUUUAUGUGCUCUACCUAAUCUACCAUUUAAUCCAAUAGAUCCAACAGCUUCCUUUAACCCGGAUCCAGAUUUAGGGAUUAACCCAUGCAGCAGCACAUACACAUGAUUCGGCUUUCAUCCUCUCUCUCUCUAUCUCGCCUGCGACGUGAACUUUCAUCCGGCCAAUUCUCCUCUCCGACUGUUUCAUAAGUUGCGACGAUGUGAAUGAAGCUAAUUCUCCUCUCCGCAUGUAUCUCGCUCUCGCCGGCGCCGACGAAGAGAUUAGAGAGACGAUUAUCCUCUUCUCCUCCUCUAUCUCACCGCGAUCGACGUAUCUGCAACCUCUCUCUGAUUGUCCUCUCCGCCUCUAUCUUUCUCUCGCAGGCGCCGACGAAGAGACUAGGCGGUGGAUCUGAUCUGAUCGUUGCGGCGCCACCUCCUCCAUCGGCAGAUCUGAUCUCCGCCUCCUUCGAUUUCAGCCAUCGACAGAUCUGAUCUGAUCUGAUCUGUGCUGCACGUAUGGCACUUAUGGCACUAUUAGUGCCAUAAGUGCACACUUCCCCCUAGGGUUUAGAUAUUCCAUUUAGGGUUUAGAUUAUUCAUUUGGGGUUUAGAUGUUCCAUUUAGGGUUUAAAUUAUCCAUUUAGGGUUUAAAUGAUGUUGUUGUGUCUGUAUUUGUGCUGCACGUAUGGCACUUAUGGCACUAUAGUGCCAUAAGUGCCAACGGAAAUCCAAAAUAAAACCAAGUAAAAUGGUCAUUUUGGCACUAAUUGUGCCAUAAGUGCCAACGGAAAUCCAAAAUAAAACCAAAGUAAAAUCUUGGCACUUAUGGCACUAAUAGUGCAAUAAGUGCCUAACCCGACCCGGCACGCGACCCGCGUGCCUGAUCCUAACCGGUCCACCUCAUUAAGGGUAAAAACGUCCAAAUCAAUAAAAAUGGCCAAAUUUUAUGUUUUUUCAAUGUGUGGCCAUGAUAACACUCAUGUUUCCAUGGAUUUUAUUGUUCAUUUGAUGAUAAUUUUAUAGGAAAUUGAGUGUUGGAUGAUUGUUUUGUGCUUAAAUUGCUUUAUCUUGUAAAACAUGAUUCUUGCUCGAACUUUGAUAGAUUUUACAGGAUUUUAGAGAUGCAAUUUGGAAAUAUUAUCAGAAAUAGAAGUUGUAGUUCGUCUCAAGAGGAGUUCGUGAGCGCAAACGGAUCGUAAAUCGGAGUUCGGACGAGAAAGUUAUGGCCAAAACAAGAAAGUCGCGCACAGCAGUGAAUAGUGUUGACGGAAAUUUCCGAAUUUUCGGGUUUUUUAUAUUUUCUCGGUAUUUUCGAGUUCUACACUGUAUUUAUCUCAUGUGCCUAUAUAUAGGUCCUUUCCCUGACCUAUUAGACACAUCUUUUCACAUCUCUUUACCUCUUUUCUCCAUCUUUUCAGUUUUAGACUUAGACUUUUACUGUUUUUAUUAUUGCUUUCUUUUUAAUUAUGUUUAUGCUUUCUUUUGUUAUGUCUGGCUAGUUUCUUUUUCUGAUUCUAGGGUUUGUAAAUAGUUAAUUAGGUUCAUGUGAUUUAUUUGUUAAUGCCUAUUUACAUUUCAGUUUAUGAUUCAUAAUUCCUGGUGCUUAAUUUCUUGUUGAUUAUCUGGCCAAUAAUUUGCAUGUGUAGCUAUUCGGUUUGAGACUUAGCGGAGAUAACUGUUUAGCGGAUUCAGGAAUGUAUGAUAUGAUCUUAACCUUGAGACCUAGCGGAGAUAGGUGGAUUAUAGGGAGCUAUUCUUAUGAGCUAUUGGGAGUUAGUAGAUUUUCUUGAGACCUAGCGGAGAUAGAGAAUUUACUAAUCUACGAUCGUUGCUGCUCUAGCGAGAGUGAUUGAUUAAUUAAGUGAUCUCUCAUCAUAAUUGGAUUAAAAUUGGUUAAUAUGAUUAAUAGAUUUAUUAUGUGGAUUUAGUUAAUGAAGUUACUACCCUAGGAUCAGCUAUCUUUAUUAUUUGAUUUCUCUACGUGAUUUUAUUUGUUGCUUUUUAAGUUUAGUUUUAAUUAAACCUUCUUCAUAAUCGUUUGCCUGUCUACUGUUAUAGUCUGUUUAGGGGAUAGCUAAAGUUAUUUUGUUGUGUCAGUCCCUGUGGAUACGAUACUCGGUUACUGAUUAUUUGCUACAAUUGCACCGUGUUAGUUGCGGUAUUUGUUGCUAAGAAAUUAGUGAUCAGGCCAUAAAUUGUGUUGUAUGCUUCAUUUUGGCUACUUCAAAAUUUUACUCAUUAUCAUUUGUGCCAAAAGUACCAAAUUACUUUUUUUUUUCUUUUAUGUUAUUACUUUUGACACUAGUAUUUUCAUUUGUUCCAAGUAAUUUGGUACUUUUGACACAAAUUAUAACAUUAUUGUCAAAAGUACUAAAUUACUUAGUACUCCUUCCGUCCACCAAUUCAAGGCCUACUUACUUUUUUGGGACGUCCACAAAAAUAAGGCCUACCUAUUUUUGGUAAGUUUUUAUUCAUUAUUUAAUCAAAAAAGUCAAAGAUUCUUUACAAAAAAGUGGGACCCUUUCUCCACUCAACUAAUAAAAAUACACUUUUUCUUAAAACCCGUGUUUUUUCCCCUAGACCUUUAAUUGGUGGACGGAGGGAGUAUUUUUUUUGUUUUGCUUUCUAUUGGUACUUUUGACACAAAUUAUAAGAUAGUGUCAAAAGUACCACCCAAACUCAUUAAGGACAAUACAAUUUCAAAUUAUAAAAAAUGACCAAAAUUUGUGUUUUUAAAAUGGAUGAUCAAAUAUUGAGCAAUUCAUUACUCAAUAUGAUGACUAUCUCAAAAAUUAGCUUUUAAAAUUAUUAGGUUCAAAUCUUUGUCCAAGAUCUUCUCUUUUCUAUAUAGUUCAACGUUCAGUCAAAUUCAAGAUAUUGAAGGUUAUUUUUUUGACUUGAAGAUAUUGAAGGUUAUUAAUUGCACAUGGAGUUUAGCACAUUUCGAUAACGGCUCCAAAUUUUUGUCGUCUUAAAAAAAAAGAAAAGAAGAAGAAGAAGAAGAAGAAAGUUGCAGCCUCAAGUGAUCAAUUUGGUGGAUUGUUUCCUUUAUUUAUCUUUAUGAUUUUUUGAAUAUGUUAAGCUAUAUAUAUACAUUUGGAGCUCUGUAUUAGUGUUUAAACUUUUGGUGCUCUAGUUCUAAUUUUUCCUAUUUCAACACAACAUUAUGCUCAUGAUCAAGGCAUGUCUGCUUAAUUACAUAUAUGUUGCCAUGAUGUAUAGCUGCUGAAAUAAAUUUUUAUUGAAAAAAAAACUUAAAAAUCAAUUGAAAGCACAAAGACACUAAUUAAGUGCCGAGCUUCAUCAAAAUAAAUUCGACGAAAAUUAAUGAAAAAAAUGCCGAUAAAGAAAAAAGAGUACUUGUCUAUCAUAAAUAGAACAAGAUAAAUAAAAAGAGCGAUAUGAUAUAGGAAAAUGGAUAAUUCAAGGAUUCAUGAAGUUGGAUUUUCACAAAUUAAUGUCACUAUAUUUAUUUUUGUAUUGUAUUUUAUUAAUGAAACGUCAUAAUUUGAAAUUACCGUCGUGAAUAAAUUGUGUGCUUAUAAGAUAAAAUUUGAGAUGGAAGCUUCGGACAAGUAGUUCACCCAAAGUUUAUUCAAUGAAUGUGGAGCAAAACUUUAAUCUGUAAGGUUUGAAAAAGUUAAAAGCAAGCAAGUUUAGAUGCAUGUCGAAUUCACUUUUGGUGAUACUUUGCUGCUAAAAGUACUGAAUUGUGCGUUUAACGAACCUUUUGUCGAGAGUAAGUUCAAUUAAUUGAUGCUAUAUAUAAUAUUUUAGAUCAUUAUUAUCGACCAAAUUUUAAAACAUGCUUACUUUAAAGAAAAAAAAAGAAAGUGAAUUUUCAAGAUUACAAUUAUGAGAUAUACUCAUCUUUUAAAACUCGGCUUAUCGUAAUUAAUUGCAUAUAUAUGCUUUUAAAAAAUGCGAAUACCGAUAUUUCCACUUCGAGUCAUGCUUUAGUGCUCGGUUGUGUUGGUCUCUAUCUUUCAAAAAAAAUUAUAUAGGUUUUUUAGUUACGAGUAAUUUUAAAAUUUAGUUACAUCUUCUGGUACAAGUGGGAAACUAAAUUAAACUAUAGUGCAAGUGGGAAUGAUGAUGAAAAUAAUGAUAUUUAGUUUACAAUGAUUUAAAAUUUGAAGCGCUCCAUCUGGAAUUGCAUUAAGCAAAUUCUUUUAAUUGGAGUUAGAAUAAUUUCACUGUUGUCACUAUCACACAAGUCGUUUUCUCUAUAUUCUUUUUAUUUUAAUAAAAUAUUCCUGUUUUUUUCUGAACAAAUUGCAAAAGUUGGGGACAGUUGCAGUACACAAUGCCAUGGUACAGAAGGGUUCACAUUUUUUGUUUUUGAGGAAACAAAAGGUUAAUGUGAAAAGAACAAAUAUACAUAAAUUAAAAAUUAAGUAGUCUUAUAAGUGCAUCAAUCUAAUGAAUAAAUUGACAUGAGAAAGGGUAAUAUGUGAUCAGUGUGUAUGGUGCAUACUGUCGCACAUAACAAUUUGUUAAACCUAAUUUUAUUCCUAGUUUUUUAUAGGUUCUUCCACCAAGUUGCAGAAUUUAAUUGAGGUAACUCGAUCAUAUGUACAUAUAAAAUAGUGUCAAUAUAUAAAAGUAUCCACUUUCAUAUUGUAAAAUUAAAAUCUAGCCUAUGAAAUAAAAACAUAAAAUUUUAGCCAGUUUUUGCGUGAAAAGACUAAAAUGCCCCUCCUUAAAUAUUUGCAAUUUCUCUUUCUCUGUCAUUAGCACUCUCUUCUCUCUUCUCUCUCUCUCUCUCGGCGAUUCACCGGCUUCUCUCUUCUCUCUCUCUCUCGGCGAUUCACCGCCAGAUUUCCGCCCAUUCCUUCACCGCCAUUCACCUCCGUGAAGACUAUGGUUAUUUGCGCCCCGCCGCCGCCUUCGUCUUCAUCGUCGUCCGCAACAGAGUUGGCGAUUCCGGCGGCAUGGUGGUCGCAGCACCACCGCUGGCGAAGAUCUCCCAUUUUCUCUCUCUGGCGGACAGAUCGAAGUUGCACCGAUCUGUUGGACGGAUAGCAAGCCCCUUCCCAGCCGAAGUGCCUCUAUGGCAAGGAGGCGGCGGCGGACGAGGGUACGGCGGCGUGGUGGCCGCAGCACCACCGCUGGCGAAGCUAGAUCUAGCUCCUCCGCCUUGGUCUCUCUCUUCACCCUCUGCCGCGAAGCGCCGCCGCCCCCAGCUCGUCGCCUUUGCCAUCUUCUGCUUCACCCCCCACCGCGAAGCGCCGCCGCCCAGGCCUCGUCGUCUCUGCCCCGGCCUCGUCGCCUCCGCCAUCUCCGACGUCAGGUAGGGGCGGCGCUCCUUCGGCUUCUUCUUCUCCUCCUCUUUCACGGUACAACAUCGACUGCAAUUUCUCUUCGUUUUGAGCCAUUGCCGAGUAAUUUUGGGGAUUUUUCAGGCAAAAAAAACCCUAGUUCCAUAUCUGAGUAAUUUUGGGGAUUUUUGUUUUAAUUCCUUGAAAAAAAAAGUUUAGAUCUGAUACGUCUGUGAAUGAUUUUCGUUCUAAGAUCUGUUGAUUCGGAGAUUGAAUGUUGAGAUUGUUGAUUCGAAGGAAUUGUUGUAUUUUAAUUGUAGAUUGAAUUGAUUUGAAUAAUAUUUUGUUGUAUUUUUAUUGUUGAUUUAGAGGAAUUGAUGUAUUUUGAUGGUAGAUUGAGUUGUUGUAUUUUGGUGUUGUACACAAUUUGAUUGAGCUGUAUAAUUAUUUUUUUAAUAUUCUUAAAUUCACAACCAAAUUUAUGAAUUCACAAUUUAAUGUUCUUGAAUUCACGACCAUAUUUAUGAAUUCACAACUAGAUUUAAGAAUUCACAACUAGAUUUAAGAAUUCACAAUCAGGUCGAUGAAUUCACAACUUAAUGUUCUUGAAUUCACAACUAGCUCGAUGAAUUCACAACUUAAUAUUCUUGAAUUUACAACCAAAUCUAUAAAUUCACAAUCAAAAUAAAUUACAGUUUUAAUUGUGAAUUCAAACUUUAAAAACUCAAAUUCACAACUACUUUAAUUAACAACAAAAUAAAUUCUAAUUGUGAAUUAAAUUCAGGUUGUGAAUUCGACUGAUUGUGAAUUCACAACCAACAUAAAUCUGGUUGUGAAUUAAAUUUUGGUUGUGAAUUCGUUUGUUGUGAAUUCACAACCAAAAAAUUCUAGUUGUGAAUUAAUUUUUUGUUGUGAAUUCGACUGGUUGUGAAUUAAAAUUUGGCUGUGAAUUCGACUAGUUGUGAAUUCACAAACAAAAAAUUCUGGUUGUGAAUUCGACUGGUUGUGAAUUCUCAAUUGACAACCAGUGUGAAUUCACAACCAAAAAAUUUUGGUUGUGAUCUACACUGGUUGUGAAUUGCGGGAUUUUUAAAGGGGUGGUGUAAAGUGGCCAUUUUUUAAUUUUAAUGUGGAAGGGUAUUUUGGUAACAGUGGCCAUUUUUUAUGUUUUUAUUUCAUAGGCUAGAUUUUAAUUUUACAAUAUGAAAGUGGCCAUUUUCAAAAUCCACUCUAAUUAUGUGACUAAUUAUCAUAUCUAAUGACUAGGAAAGUUAAGAACGAUAUUAUUUUCCAUGUCUAAUUAAAAGUUGUAUAUAACAUAAUGUCCUACGUACUUUUAAACACGUGAUUUAAUUUGACCUAUCAUAAAUACUCCUAUUUCUUAUGGAAUUUGAAUGCGUAGUUCCGUUUUCUUCGGAGCAGUUUGAUGAAAAGUUAGUGAAAUCUCACAAAGUUUUUAUAUUUAUGGUGGUUGAAUUCGUAUAUAUUCGAAAUUCAUUGUGUGUUAUGAUGCCUGCAAGUUGGUGGUUUAUUUUAUUUGUAGCGUCUUACUAAUAUUUAGGGGUUUUACCAAAAUAAAAUCACUCAUUAUUUUGAAAUUGUAAUUUCAAUCUUACUUUUAAAAUGUGACAAAUUAAAUUACUAUCUUUUCAAUUUUUACAAUUCCAUCCCUUUAAUUCUUUUAUGGUCACUGAAGUAGUCAAUUGGAGCUUAUAUAUGUAGAUUAAUAAAGAGCUUAUAUAUGUAGAUUAAUAAAGAUGACGUCGUUUUAGUGAGGCCUAAGCGAAGACGAUUGGUACAAUUUUAAUUAAAAAUUUCCUCAAAUUAUGAAGAAAUUGUAUCAUGUAUCUGCACCCGUAAUAUUCAGUGAUUUGAUGCAAACGACGUCGUAACAUGAAUAUUAUGUGGGAACUAAUCCACAUAAGCUCCAAUUCAACAAUCCGGUGAUCGAAAAUAAUUGGGGGGAUAAAAUUGCAAAAACUAAAAAGGUGGUGAUUUAAUCUGCCACACUUUAAAAAUCUAGUUAAAAUUAUAAUUUUGAAAUCAUCUCCCCUAAUAUUUAUGCAUAUUUUGACUGAAAUAUUAACACCUAAAUUCUUUCUUAUUACUGCAACCACUCGUAUAUAAUAUUAAUCAAUUGUACAUUUAUGUAUAUAUAUAUAUAAAUCUAUUUGGAUAAGAUUGAUCUUGAUCAAUAAGGGCAAAACGGUCAUAAUUUUAAAAAUGAAAAUAUGUUUAUUAGUAUUAAAAUAAUAAAUUUNNNNNNNNNNNNNNNNNNNNNNNNNNNNNNNNNNNNNNNNNNNNNNNNNNNNNNNNNNNNNNNNNNNNNNNNNNNNNNNNNNNNNNNNNNNNNNNNNNNNNNNNNNNNNNNNNNNNNNNNNNNNNNNNNNNNNNNNNNNNNNNNNNNNNNNNNNNNNNNNNNNNNNNNNNNNNNNNNNNNNNNNNNNNNNNNNNNNNNNNNNNNNNNNNNNNNNNNNNNNNNNNNNNNNNNNNNNNNNNNNNNNNNNNNNNNNNNNNNNNNNNNNNNNNNNNNNNNNNNNNNNNNNNNNNCACACCAUAAAAUACGGUCAAAAUUACUUAUUGAAAAUAACAAAAUUUAAUUAUAUAUAUAUAUAUAUAUAUAUAUAAUAAUGAUUACAUUACAUUAUGAAAAUGAAAAAUUAUAAAAAUAAAAAUAUAUUUUUAAAUUGAAAAUUAAAUAUUUAUUAUAUUUGAUCUGAAUUAAAUUGAUCCAAAUAACAUCACCCACGUAAGUAUUAUACGUGCUAUAAUUUAGUGAUCAUCAUAAAAGAAUCUCGCAAUAAUUUACGAGCCAUUAUUGUGCGGCCGGGUCGUCCCGCGUCCAUACUCGCCCCUAACCCGCACCCCUGACCCGCUCUCUUUCGACCCGUGCUGCAAAUUAUUACAUUUAUUUAUAGUAAUUAUUACUUUUAAUAAGCAUAAGAUAUACAUUUGUUCGCUCAAAUGUAUACUUAUGUAAAUAUAAGUAUUUACCUUCAUUCAAUAUAAAGUAUUAUAUUUUCUAAACCCUAAACCCUAAAACCUGAAUAAUAAACCCUAAUAGGCGUAUUUACUUUUAAUAAGUAUAAGAUAUACAUUUGGUCGCACAAAUGUAUACUUAAUAUAAAUAUUUACCUUCAUUCAAUAUAUAUAAAGCAUUAUAUAUACAUAUCAAUAAUUACUUUUCUUUACGAUAAUAAUUAUUUGAUCAAAUAAUAAUAUAGUUAUUUAUAUUUAUUAAAAGUAAUAAUUAUUAAAAUAAAAAUAAUAGUAAUUGAUAUGGAGAAAGGUAAUAUUUCAAAAAUAUUAUAUUUAUUGUAAUUAUUGUUAUAAUAAAAAAGUACUAAUUAUUAUCAUAAAGAAAGGUAAUAUUGUUGAAAUAUACAUUUCUUCACAAUAUUGAUGUUAACUAAUUAUAUUAACAUAAAUAUAUAUUUAUGCUAAUAAAUGUAUAUCUUACGCUAAUUUACAACUAUUAUAAAUGAAUGUAAUAAUUUAAGGUGCGGGUCAGGGGCACGGGUUUGGGCGCGAGCCGACCCGGCCUCAUCGCAUUCAAUAAUUGGCGAUAAUUCACUGGUUCAGACCAACCUUUUUUUUGAGACAUGGUGCAGUCCAACCUUAAUAACUUAACUACCUCAAAAACUUGAAAUUCGUUCAUUUCUGAUUCGGACACGGUAGAGAAUUAAUAGUACUCACGACAAAGGUAGAUAGAAAUAUUAUUACGAAUAUCAGAUUGCGUCUGAAAUAACAAAACGAAAUGAAUUUUUACUGCGGUUGACGUGAUGGGCCGAAUCUCUAUUUAAUAUAGAGUGGUGUUAUUUGACCAUAUUAUCAUCAAUUAUAAAAUAAAUAAAUUCAAAAAAGAUAUUUGAAAUAUAUAUCAAAUUAAAAAGAAAAUUAACUAGUUAUCUUUUCAUAAUUUUUUUAAAUAAAAAAUAUGAAAAAAUAGGGACGUACAAUGUGUAUCUAGAUAAAAUCUUUUUUACUUUUGAACCAAGAAUUUUAAAUAAAUUAAAUUCUUUUCAAUUCGAGGUUCCUUGUUUGGUGAGAAACGGCUACUCAGGUACAAGAGGUAAGACGCCUCUGAAAAUGUAAUCACCAAAAAUGAAUGUUCUGCAGAGAAAGGACGAUCCUCUGUAUCUCUGCAUUUAAUGCGGCUAUACUUUGAUUGUGUGGCUUCCUUUUAACGUUGGAGUUUCAGUCCGAGGAAGAAUGUCAACUGAUACUUAACUUUAGUAUCAGUCUGCUGAUUCUGUUGGAAAAAUAAUAAACUUGAUUUAUGUAGAGUAUUCUAGAAUUAACAAGAAACUAAAGGAAAGAAAUAAAAUAUUAAAUAGUAGAUGAAAUAAAAUAUAGAGAAUUCUAGAAUCUAAAUAUUAAAUGUCUAGUUGCUAGAUUAUUCUAGCAAAGUUGGUUUGACUAGAUUUUUUUUAGGAAAAGUCGGUUUAGUAAACCGACAUUAGACAACUAUAUAUAUGCACUUGUGGAGUUAAAUGUUGUAGUGAAGAAAAUAAGAAACUUUGGAAUUCAAAGCCAAUUCUUCAUUCCCUACAUAUACACACACGUCCACACACUUGCACAAUAUUUCUCCAUAUUUUCUCCCAUCAAUUAAAUAAAAUUCUCCAUUUAUAUAUACUUAUAUUCCAACAAAGUGGUAUCAGAGCCACAAGAUUCUACUUGUGGUAUGGCGAAUUUACAAUCGUUUCAAGUCCCCAUGCUCAACAAGAGCAACUUCGACAAUUGGAGCAUCAAGAUGAAGGCGCUAUUGGGAGCCCACGACGUUUGGGAGAUCGUGGAGAACGGCUACGAAGAGCCGCAGGAUGAGGCCGCACUAUCCCAACAACAAAAGGAUAGAUUGCGAGACGCGAGAAAGAGAGACAAGAAGGCUCUCUGUCUCAUUUAUCAAGCGCUAGGGGACGACGAUUUCGAGAAAAUCUCAAACGCGAGCACCGCCAAAGAAGCGUGGGAGAAGCUCCAGAACGCGUGCAAAGGAGCAGAGCAAGUAAAAAAGGUACGACUUCAAACUUUAAGAGGAGAGUUUGAGUCUUUGCAUAUGAAAGAGUCCGAAUCAAUUUCGGAUUAUUUUUCAAGAGUCUUGGCGGUGUCUAAUCAAAUGAAAAGAAAUGGUGAAAAAUUGGAGGAUGUAAGAAUUAUGGAGAAAAUAUUACGGUCACUAACCCCAAAGUUUGAGCACAUUGUGGUGACGAUCGAAGAAACUAAAAAUUUGGAGGAGAUGACAAUCGAUCUCUUGUUGGGGUCGUUGCAAGCAUAUGAGGAGAAGCAAAAGAAGAAGCAAGAAAUUUCAGAGCAACUUUUAAAAAUGCAAGUAGUUCAAAAGAUAAAGAAGAAGGUCCGAGCAAUGGUCGUAGACAAUUCGUGAGAGGGCAUGGCCAAGGACAAGAUCGAGGCCGAGGACGUGGACGUGGUCGUGGACGAGGAGGUUUCGUCAACAACAAUUAAAGAAACGAGUAUACAAGUAGUUGAGGUACGAUAAAUCUUCAAUAAAGUGUUACAAUUGUCAUAAAUUUGGGCACUAUGCUUCCGAGUGCAGAAGUGAAAAAGUAAGUAUUGAAGAAAAGGCUAAUUAUGCCGAAAAUACAAGUCAAGAAAUUCGUAGUGUGCUUCUAGCAUACAAAGGAGAAACUGGAAGAUAAGAUGGCACGUGGUACCUUGACACUGGUGCAAGCAACCACAUGUGCGGGAAAAGAAAUAUGUUCGUGGAGCUCGAUGAGUCAGUAAGUGGAAAUGUCUCAUUUGGUGAUGAAUCUAAAAUUCCAGUUAAAGGAAAAGGAAAAUUUUAAUUCGCUUGAAGAAUGGAAAUCAUGAAUUUAUUUCCAACGUUUAUUAUGUGCCCAAUAUGAAAAAUAAUAUCUUGAGUUUGGGACAACUCUUAGAGAAAGAUUAAGAUAUUCACAUGAGAAAUUAUAACCUUUCAAUAAGAGAUGGCAAAAAUAAUCUUAUUGCCAAGGUGCCAAUGUCUAAAAAUAGAAUGUUCUUAUUGAAUAUUCGAAAUGACGUGGCAAAAUACCUGGAAGCGUGUUACCAAGAUAAGUCUUGGUUGUGGCAUCUUCGGUUUGGGCACUUAAAUUUUGGCGGUUUGGAGUUGCUGUCAAAGAAGGAGAUGGUGAGAGGUCUACCAUCCAUCAAGCAUCCCGAUCAACUCUGCGAAGGUUGUCUACUCGGGAAGCAGUUCAGAAAGCCGUUUCCAAAGGAGUCAAGCUCAAGAGCCCAAAAGCCACUGGAGUUGAUUCAUGCUGACGUGUGUGGGCCAAUAAAUCCAAGCUCCCUCGGUAAAAAUAAUUAUUUUCUGCUCUUCAUUGAUGAUUUUUCUAGAAAAACGUGGGUAUAUUUCUUGAAGCAGAAGUCAGAAGUAUUUGAUGCAUUCAAGAAAUUCAAAGCGCCGUCGAGAAGGAGAGCGGACGACAAAUAAGGCCUGAGGUCCGAUCGAGGGGAGAAUUCACCAAGAGUUUCUAGAAUUUUGCGAAGAAAUGGAAUUCGCGGCCCCUGACAGUUCCGAGAUCCCCCCAACAGAACGGAGUGGGGAAAGAAAAAAAAACAAUCAUGGAGAUGGCAAGCAUGCUAAAACGAAGAAUCUGCCUAAGAGUUUGGGCAGAAGCAUGGCGUGGGGUGUACUUCCAACGAUCCCACAAGAGGUUGGGGAAGACUCCACAAGAAGCCUGGAGCGGGAGAAAGCCAGGAAUUUCCACCAAAGGUAUUUGGGAGAAAGCCUAGUGCAUGUACCAGAUGAGAGAAGAAGAAGCUCGAUGACAAAAGUGAAGCAUUAUCUUUAUCGGGUACGAUCUAACUCAAAGGCUAUAAGUUAUAUAACCAAACCAAGAAAACAGUGAUAAGCGAGAGUGGAGUUCACGAAGAAGGAGUAUGGGAUUUCACUCCACGUGACUUCACCUAAUCCACAGUUAGAAGAACAAAGAGCAGAAGAGCAAGUUGGAGAAGUCCAACAAGAGCCAGGACUCCACCAGCUUCACCGUGCCAGUCACUGAAGACUCGCCACCAUCUUUCUUAAAUGAAAAGCACACCACGAGCAAGGAUUUGGGAGAUAUAUGAGGAUACUGAAGGUUAGAAAUCUACCUUAUUUGCCUAUUUGCUGACUGUGAACCUGUUAGCUUUGAAGAAGAGCAGAUAGUGAAAAUUGCGAGUCCGAUGGAUGAAGAGAUCAAAGCCAUAAACAAGAAUGAUACUGGGAGUCGUGACACUACCGAAAGGGCACAGGGCCAUUGGAGUCAAGUGGGUUAAAGUUAAGAAGAAUUCCAAAGGUGAAGUCGAAAAUAUAAAGCAAGGUUGGUUGCAAAAUGAUAUAGCCAAAGAGUUGGAAUUGAUUAUGAUGAGGGUGUUUGCUCAUGUUGCUCGCUUAGAAACUAUCAGACUAAUACUGAUUAGGCGUAUUUAUACGCAUUUAUUUGUGGGAUUUUGGUAUGUUUUUGUGCUUAAUACGUGUUAAAUAUCAUCUUUUGGAUAUGAAUUCUGGUCUUAUAUGAAUUUUGAUGGUAUUUGAUAGAUUAUGAAUAAAAACUUGGUUUUGAAAAGAAUGUUGAAGCUUUGAGUUGUGAAGUUUGAAGAUGUGCACUACUUGUUGAGUAGAAUGCCCAUACCACCUGGGUGCGAUCUGAACUGCAUGGAUUGAAGGCUAAAUGGGUGAGAGUGGCGGAUGAGUUGUGAUUUAGUGAGCUGCCACCUUGAUUUUGCAUGGGCUAUACUUUAGCUUAUUGCUAAUGGGCCUUAUGCGCCACUUUAAGUUGACUUUUUUAGAUUUAUUAUUAUUUCCUUAGUUGUUAUAUAUAUUACAUAUUAGACACCACAUGCAUUAGACAAGUUAGCCGCAACUUUUGGAGCAGAGUGGGACGCAAGUUUUGAAGCAAUUAAUCAAGUUUUUUCGAUUCUUCAUUAUUUUCACAAUUUGUUCUUUUAAUUAAUUUAUUUUAUUUAAUAUGAGUUCUAGCUAAUUCGUUUAUUUCGGCAUCGAUUAGGGAAGCACUAGCAAUAUUAUUCUGUGAGAUCUAAUUUGUUUUUUAUACUUUAUUUUAUGCUUGCAUCUGCGAUUCUCUGUGUUUAAUGAUAUUAAUUGUUUUAAUCCAUUAGAUAGUUGCAAAUAUUAUUGGGUUAGAAUUAAUUAUAUAGCCAAUUGAACCGGUCAUCCGUAAUUGUGGUUUAGGUUUGAUUAGUGGUAAAUUGACACAUCAGGGUAAAGGGAAAAGCAGUCUUAAUUCAAUAAUCCUGCGUCAGAGUUUAUUGAUUUUGAAUCGGAUUUCUCUAGAUAUUAAUGUUGACGGCUCGUUAAACCUAUAGAACGUCUCUUAUGGUUGUCAGUCGAUUAUGGUAGUAAUUAGUGAAGCGUCUUCCUGGUUACCGAAUAAUUAAGGAGAAAUAAGAUCAUGUCAGAAGCGUCUUCGGUGGUUAUAACUGAUUUGUUUGCAUGAUUUAAAGUAAUUUUUGCAUCAAUGAUCGGAAUAAUUAAGUUAGGGUGGACUUAAUUGAUUGCUAGAAACCUUUUAAUUAAUUGUUGGAAUUUUUAUUCAUCUUUUAGUUAUUGGAAAAAUUGCUUUCAGUUUGGAUUUUAUUUAUUUAAUUUUAAGUUUAGUAUUUUAUCAAUUUUAAUCUCAAUUUUCGUGGUUACUUUGCAGGCUUUAAUUGGAGAAAUUCUCGCCAGUCCCUUGGGAGAAGAUUUUGCUUACUGCUGUAAUCGAUUAUGAUGAGGUAUUUGCUCCCGUCGCUCGCUUAGAAACUAUUAGACUAAUACUCUCUCUUGCAGCCCAAAAUAGAUGGAAGAUUUAUCAAAUGGAUGUCAAGUCAGCCUUCUUGAAUGGAUAUAUAGACAAAGAAGUCUAUAUCAAGCAGCCAAUGGGCUACGAGGUGAAAUGGCAACAAGAUAAAGUCUUGAAGUUAAAGAAGGCCCUAUACGGACUAAAGCAAGUACCAAGGGCAUGGAAUAGCAGGAUCAAUAAGUACUUGGAGGAUAAUGGUUUCACUAAAUGCCCUCAUGAGCAUGCUCUCUACGUGAAAGUCAAUGGAGGAAAUGUCUUAAUUGUGUGCUUGUAUAUAGCACUACAAGAAUUCAGUCGAUAGACAACAGAAUAUAGACAACGUGGUUUAAAAACUGUUGUCUAUAGGCUAAUAGACAACGGUUUAUAACGUACUCGUUGUCUAUCAGCGAAAAUUUUGACAACAAUGCUUAAAAACCGUUGUCUAAUGUGAUUAUAGACAACAGGUUUAUUUGUGGUUGUGUAUUGAGCGCUAUAUACACAAAGUUGUAGGAAUUUUAAUUUCUCUAAGCCCUAAUUCUUGUUCUCUCUCCUUUUCGCACGCCUGAUAUCCCUCAGCCACCUUCCCCACGACACCCACCGGCGUCCAAGCCCUAGCUACCGGCGUCUAACCCCCAGCCACCGUCGCCCCAUGCCACCCACCGCCGUCAAGCCUCAUCCUUCGUCGCCCAUGCUACCCCCACUGUCCAGUGAGUGGCGGAAGCCCUCGCCACUCACCGGAUCUAUUCUCGUCGCUUCUUGCUCAUCGCUGGAGAUUCCCGCCCUCGGUCGCCUAUUUCUUUGCCUCAUCGCCGAUUCUCGCCCUCGGCUGCCUAUUUCUUUGCCUCGUCGCCGAUUCCCGCCGUCGACCGCCGUAUUCCCCUGAGAUUGCGUUAGAUAACAGUUGGAGCCAUAUUCAAGUCGGAGAUGCCAGUCGAAACUUGAUUCCUUCAAGACCAAACUAGACCGGAGCUUUUUGUGUCAAUUCGGUGGUGGAUGAGUUAGAACUCACGCCUCUCCACCAAACGAAAUCAAAACUAGGUAAUUGAAUUUCUUUUUUUUUCUUUUUUUUGGUUUUGAUUGUUUACGAAAGAGUGAUGAAGUUAAAGAUUUCCUUCAGUUAGGCUUGAUUUUUUCGAUUUUGAUUGUUUGUUGCUCAAUUCAGUUAGGCAUUGUUGUAAUUGUUGAAUUAGAAAUAAAUGUUUGAUCUAUGCGUGUUGCCAAGAUUGGGAUUAUUUCCUGGUGAAUCUACCAGUUAGGCAGCUUCACUUUUGUGUUGUGAGAAUCUACCAAUUAUGCUUCACUUUCUUUUAUCUGUUAUUUUUUAUUUUUUAUUUGUGCAGCGUUUUUGUGCUCAAUGAACUCUUUCCUUAAUUUUCAGCUUUUUCUGUACAAUUGGUGCUAUUCUAUUUCUUUUCUUCAGUUGAACUGGUUAAAGUAAUAUUUGCUUGCAAUAUUUGUGAUUUGUUGGAGUUGAACUGGUUGAAGCAAUACAGUGAUUCAACAUAACUCAUGCUUAAAUAUAUGCAUAUUUAAUUAUGUUAUAUUAUAUAUAUAUUCGAAUUUAACAUACUGCAUAUAUUUAAAGUAGAAUGCAUCUAAAGUUGUGUUACCUCUCAUGAAAAGUUUAGUUAGAUAUAUGUUUAUUACUAUAAUUUAUCAAUGAGUAGAGAGAAAAUCAAAAUAAUGUCAACUGCCAACUUAAUUUCUUUAAAUAGGAUGAAUUGAUAACUAUGUUAUCUCAAUUGAAAUCUCAUAAUUUCACACAGAAAUGGAACCAACCCCUCAAAAGAUUACAAGGGAAAGAGUACCUUCCACAAAGUUAAUCUGAAAUAUUAGUGGCACAUUUACAGAUUUACUGCCUCUGAAUUGUUUGAACUUAGUGUUGCUUUGCUUUGGAAUCUUUAUGAACUUGUCUUGGCUCUCGGAUGAUUAGAUAUACAAUUACUAACAAUCUUGGAGUUAUAAGCGUGCUGUUGAAAGAAUAAAGAUUUGAGGUAAACUUUGUAUCUUGUUGAAGUUUUAAGUUUAUAGCUAUGAGUUAAAGAAGAAUUUGUUCUCAUUCUUUUUCUUUAUCUAGCUAUUUGUAACUGCAGAUUUGUACUUUUUGUGAGCACGCCCAUGAUUCUUGAGAGGAUUAUACGUGUGCGGAGCGAGAAAAUGGUAGUGGAUCUUCUUUCCUAUUUUUGUUUCUUUUUUCAUCAAUAAGUCGGGCAGAUUAUUUGUCUCGUCUCCCUAGCUCUUGUCGCUGUGCCGCUAUACAGAUAGCAUUCUGUUGGAGUCUUUAUCCCACCGGUUUUUGGAUCAUGCUUUCGUGCUUUCGCCGUUAAAGGUUCGAUCUUUAUAUCAAGAAACUGCACUUCACGAGCACUGCUCUCUAUUCUUCUUCUCCACUUAACUUUUCUUCUUUUUCUUUAACGUUUCACUUCACGAGCACUGCUCUAUUUCAUACUGUAAAAAGUUUGUGAUUGGACCGGUGUGUUGGUGUAUGAAUAACCGGAGCAGGUUAAUUCGGAAAUAUAGUCGGGUUUAUCGCUAUAGGCUCCAAAUUGGAGUGAUUCAGUCAAAUACAUCUGAGCUCAGAUGAGAAGGUGCUUGCUCUAAACCAUCGCUUAAUUCAUCGGUUGUUGAAAUUAAUGUAGAACUAGAAUAGAUCAACUAGGCUAGUACGUUUGUAAAUGGCUAUAUCUGUCAAUUUCAAGUGUCGCCGCCUACCUAGAUAACUAUCCUGUCUUCUGAAUGUGCUGCUCUCCUUCUGACAGAAGUGCUUAAUCAUAUUUGUUAGUGUUUUUGGCUCUUUGAGAAUUUAUCUGUUAAUGGUGUUUCGUUUAAACUGCACCCUGAUUUUAUUUAUGUUUCUUCUCUAGAGAGCUAAAUGAUAUAAAGAAGGCCAUAUAGAAACAUUCAGACUGAAGACGAUAUAGAGGAGAAACCUGGGAGUUUGAUCCUAGUCUUGGGUCCCCCGAGGAGUUGGCUGAGAUUGAGAAACUCCGAGAGCAAUUUCGCAAUCAUCGUUUUGAUAAGCGUCAUUCUGCUGAUCUUCUCAUGAGACUUCAAGUUCAGUGAGAUACAUAUUUAGCUUCACUCAUUUACUUUUAUAGUUUGUUGUUCCGUGCCAUUUUAAUGACCUAAUAGCCCCUAGUUUAUUUUCAGCAUUUCUGAAACUUUGGCAAAUGAGUCUAGUUACUUUAUUUCUCGUAUUGUUUGUGUGGGGUUUUGGUCAUUUUACCUUAUAAUGCCCAACAUCUUAACUUGUGAGAAUGCAAUGAAAGUUAGUUCGUUGCAGUCUUGAAGUAAGAAGUAGAGUAUUGGUUUUCAAAUUUAUUCUUGACAACUUCAUGGUACUGACUAUGGGACUAACUUUUCAGAUGUUCUGCCUGAUUUAUGACAUUAUCAUAUUCUAUGCUCUACUUGCAGGUGCUAAAAACUGUUCGGAAGGAAGUUUUGAAGGAUUGCAAAAUAGUCUUCACGCGUGUUAUCCCGAUCAACUUCACAGCCGAGCACCACCACUUGUGGAGAAUGGCAGAGCAACUGGGAGCUACAUGUUCAACUGAAAUCGAUCCAUCUGUCACACAAGCUACGUGUAACUUGCUUGUUUCCGGUGUCUGUCAAUUAUGUUUUAAUGUAAUGUAGGAUGAUGAUGUUUGGAUUCUAAUGUAAUGUAGGAUGAUGAUGAUGAUGAUGAUGUUUGAUUCUAAUGUAUGAAUUUUAUUAUUAAUUUAUGUAUUUUUGGCUUUCCAUAUUAUGUUUUUUAGAUUUACUUAAAUAUAUAUUGAAAAAGCAGGAAAUUUUAAAUAUAAAUACAAAAGAAAAACUGUAAUAUAGACAAUGGUUGUAUUAAGAGAAUAGACAACGGUUUUUCUGAUUGUUGUCUAUCAGAGAAUAGACAACAGGUUCCCGACCGUUGUCUAUCAGAGAAUAGACAACGAGUUCCCGACCGUUGUCUAUGACCGCCCUUUAAUAGACAAUGGUCUCAUUUACAACAGUUGAUUUCUUAAUAGACAACGGAUUUUGACCGUUGUCUAUUAGCGUUUUUUUUGUAGUGUAGAUGAUUUGAUUUUCACAGGAAAUAAUCCAAAGAUGAUCGAGGAGUUCAAGAAGGUCAUGACAAAUAGGGGUGUAAGUGAGUCGAGCUAGCUCGCGAGCUACUCGGGAUCGACUCGAAAAUUACUCGAAAUCGACUCGAUGUUAGUCGAGUCGAGCUCGAGCUCGAGCUACUCGACUAUAUACCGAGCCCGAGUUCGAGUUUCUUGAUACUCGACUCGUUAGGCUCGCGAGCCUAAUCGAGCUCAAAUAAUUAUAUAUAUAAUAUAUAAUAUAUAAGCCAAAAUUAAAUAUAUUUCACAGCCCACAAAGAUGGCCCAACUCCUAAGCCCAUUCUAACACAACUAGUGAAUUUGAAUUACACAAACCACCCUAACUCACAAGUCNUCUCAAUUUGAGAUUUAUCAUAUUAAUCUUUGUAAGUGAUUUUGUUCUUGCUCUAGUUUAAUAUAGUAUGAUUUAUAGCUUUUUUAUAGAUUUAUUCUCUUGUCUUUCAGUGUGUACUUGUUAGAUAUUGUUUGCCUUUGAUUCUCGUUCAUUGUCUAAAUAAUCUAGUUCUUGUUUAUUGGUUUUUCUCUAUUGAUUUAUUGUUUUUCCGAACGCUAGCUUUAGAACCACUCUAAUUUUAUAUGCUUUCUUUUACUGCUUUAUUUUACCUAUUGCCUAGUUAAUUUUAUAUGUUUUCUUUCAAUUACGUGUUAGUCAAUCGGAUGUGGAGUUACAGACACUAUCUAUGUUUAGAGUGUUUAGGUUUAUUUUCUCAUUUUAUGUGCGUAGCAUGAACCAAACCCUUCUUAGCCUUCCUUGAGAAUACGACUUGGGUUGACUUGCCACCCUAGGAUGACCUCGUACUAUCGCGGGCGACAAAUUUUGGCGCCGUUGCCGGGGAGGCUUUAGGCGAUUGUUUGUGUUACUCUCUUUUUCAUGUUUCUUUUUCUUUUUGUUUUGGUUACUUUUCCUCUCACAGGUGCGCUUGAUCGUUUUUGUAUUUUUGUUUGGACAACGAUUACCACAUCUUUGGGAUGGUAAAUGAGAUUCAUGCCUACAGUUGCAAUUCUAGAGUUUGAUUUGUGAAAUGACAUGGUAUCAAGGCAACACGUGGGGUUACACUUACCUUGCAGUUGAGGAGGUUCCUGAUUAUGAAGCGCCUGAUCGAAUUAUUGAAAGAUGGAACUCUCAAAUUGAAAAGAAAUUACGAGUACCAGUUGAAGAGAAAUGAGGAGUGGCGAGUAAUUUGGGCUUGUGCAAAUUGUGGGAAGUAUGGGCACUUUAUCUUCGAGUGCAAAAAUGUUGAAGCGACCGAUGUAAGAGAGUUGGUGCAAGAAGUAGCAGAGAAGGACUCCACACUACCCAAGGAAGAGCUCCAGCAACAGAUGGUGCAGACCCUUGCUAUCCCCGUUCUCGAAAGAGAUACGGUGGUUGAAGACGAUGAUGCAAUCAUGUUUUUUUUCGGAUGCCGAUGAGUUGCCUGACCCUUUAGAUGAAGAGGAGUUCGAGCAAUGAGCCAAUGUAAGACAACGUGAGGCAAGCUUUACUUACGUGGACCAGGUACAAGUCAACGCGGUAUAUGACUUCCAACCGCAUUUUUUCGACCCCCUCCCUAGGGGUGUAAGUGAGUCGAGCUAGCUCGCGAGCUACUCGGGAUCGACUCGGAAAUUACUCGAAAUCGACUCGAUGUUAGUCGAGUCGAGCUCGAGCUCGAGCUACUCGACUAUAUAUCGAGCCCGAGUUCGAGUUUCUUGAUACUCGACUCAUUAGGCUCGCGAGCCUAAUCGAGCUCAAAUAAUUAUAUAUAUAAUAUAUAAGCCCAAAAUUAAAUAUAUUUCAGAGCCCACAAAGAUGGCCCAACUCCUAAGCCCAUUCUAACACAACUAGUGAAUUUGAAUUACACAAACCCUAACUNGUUGAGAUUGAAUUUGGGGUGGGUUUUUUGUAAAUAAAGAGUGUUUGUAAGGAUAAAAUAUAAAGGUGGAUGGUGGGACCAUGGCUUAAAAAGGAAAGUGGAAUACUUUUUGUGGACGCCAAAUAUAGUAAUUGUGGAAUACUUUUGGCGGACGGAGGGAGUAAUAUAUAAGCCCAAAAUUAAAUAUAUUUCAGAGCCCACAAAGAUGGCCCAACUCCUAAGCCCAUUCUAACACAACUAGUGAAUUUGAAUUACACAAACCCUAACUCACAAGUCACAACAGUCAACAGCAGGGCGCCCCCACCCCCAAUCUCUCCUCUCUCUCUCUCUGGGUCUCGGCUGACCAGUGACAGCACCCGCACUCACGCGACGCGGCUCGGCCUUUCCGGCGAAGGUCUGGAGAGCUUAACAGCAGCACAGCAGUAGUGCAGCACGGUCUGUCCUCUCCCAGCCAUUUUCCUUGCUCGACGCCGCGCGACAUCAGCAUCAUCUGGAUCGAGCUAGCUCCUUCGACUGCCAUUUCCUAGCCUAGCGCGACAGCAGCAGCGACGCCGCGAUGGCUCUGCCCUCCUCGGCGCGACAGUAGCAACAGUGCAGAGGUUCUAUUUUCUAAAUUAUGGUUGUAGUUUCCUUUGUUUUCUUUGGGCUUAGUUACGGCCAUUCUCGUUUGAACAAGAGUGUGACGAAUUCCCUGUUAGUUGGAUGAAUUGCACAAAAAAGAAUAGGCAUCGUUGUCGCAGCAGUGCAGAGGUUCUGUUUUCUAAAUUUUGGUUGUAGUUUCUCUUUUUUGUUGGGUUCAUGUCCAGAUAGAUAGAAAUCUAUUUAUGCAUCUAGACAGAAAGCAUAAAAAUCUUGCUGAAAUCUUGGAAUCUAUGAAUAUGUUGUUAGAUAUGUUUUUUUUUUUUUGCUGCUAAUUCUGCACGAUAGCUUCUGUGAUAUCAAAUUAUCAAUGAUGAUAUUUGCUUGGCUACCAUUUAUUUCUUUUCGAAUAAGAAAUUUCUAUUGCUUUAUCUUGUUUGUUGAAUAUAUAAACUUAUAACUGAAGUACUACUAAAAGGGAAAAGGAAAUUAAUACAUAUGUUAGUGAAUGUUUGUGUUUUGAAGUUAGCAUUAUUUGUUGCUGUCUGCUGAACUUCAUUGCUGAUGUUGGUUGUGUGCAGUCCUUAACUUCAUAUAUGUUCUUCAUUGCUGAACUUCAUUGUGUUGUUGGUUGUGUGCAGUCCUUAACUUCAUGAAAUGAUUUGGAGAAAAACUUUUGGUAAUGAAAUGAUUUGUAAUUUUAUUCAAUUUAUUUAUUGAAGCAUGUAUGAAACGAGCUCAAACGAGCUCGAGCUCGCCGAGUUUGAACGAGCUCGAGCUCAACGAGCUUAAAUGAGCUCGAGCUCAAACUCGAGUAAGACUCUACAAUCGAGCUUAACCGAGUCGAGCUCGAGCUCACGAAUAUGACAUCGAGUCGAGCUCGAGCUCAAAAAAAUCAAAGCUCGAGCUCAAAAAAAUCAAGCUCGGCCGAGUCGAGCUUCCUCAAAAUAGUCGAGCUCGAGUCUGAGCAUAUCAAUACUCGACUCGACUCGGCUCAUUUACACCCCUAAUAGUACCUACAUAGGGAAAAUGUAAGAAACUUAUUUCAAGUAAAAAACAGAUUAGGCCGCCCAUUAUCAGAGAAACUCGCAAUGUAGAGCAUCCUGAACAGUGGCACGAAGGCCAUUAAGAGGUCCCAAGAGAAACACCCGCGUGCCCUGGAAAAUAAACCCAGGACACAGUUUAAAACAUGAGCCGAGAGAACAAUGGAUAUUUCCCAUAGAUUUAGAGUUAAACUCGCAAGAGAGAGCGUAUUAUCUGGCGAAAUAAUCAUAAAAACCCCAAAAAACACAAAGACAAAACACCAAUCAACAGAUCGUUAGUGGAAUACGUUAGAUUCGUAAGAAAAAUGUAAAUUAGACGAGAAAACAUUAUAACCACACACAAUUAUCAAAAUUACGUAAACAUAAACACAGAUUAACGCUCGAUCCUCCGCGCCCAUUCCCUUCCCGACAUGCACAUGCAGGGGAAAACAUGAAAAAUCACAGAUCUCGGAGGCUCGUAGCUAGAUCAGCAGGAACAACAUGAAUAUUAGUGUAAAUUCGCUUGGGUAAUCGGAUCAACGGCUCAAUCGGUGCCUGCGCACGCAAAUCCGAUCGUAAUUAUAGAUCUGCAUGCACCGGCGAACAAAACUCACGUCCUAGCCCAGAUUUCCCACAGACGGCGUCAGCUGGUAAAGCAUAAAUGAACGGUGAUCGUUUGUUUUGUGAAUUAUCGGUGAAUCGUGGAUUUUACCUAGAGAUUGAUCGUAAAGGUGAGAGAAGAUUGCUAGAUUGCUGAGAACACGAGGAAAUAUUGUUGCAGUAGUAAAAGUAUUGAAAACGUAAGAUUACAAAGUGUGUAUGUGCGGCUAUUUAAAGAUUACACGUCAAGGGUAAAAGGGUAAUUUCAUCGCUGGAGCACGCACCUCGCAUGGNUAGGCUGAAUGAUUUAUAAUGUUUACUUAAUAGUUCGUUAUGGAGCCUACCAAUUUCGUAAUAUUAGUUUAUUAAACAAUGCUUGACAUUUUUUUAUUGUGAAAGUUAAGUUCGUAUUGAUUCAUGACAAAUUUAUAUUUUUGAUGGUUUGAUUUCAUCUAGGGAAACCCAACAAAAAAGGAAAGGGGAAAAUAGCAGUUGAGAUCAGCGGCAAUGGGAAACAAAACAACACCGCAACUAAAGGUAAUGAAUCCAACAAGGCUCUACGUCUUUCAUUUUUUUUAUUUGUUAUUGGAAUAGUAUUAGUUUUAUUGUGUAAAAUAGUAUUGGUUUAUGUGUAGAUUCGUUUAUAUUUUAUGGAUGAAUAUUUAGUCGCAAUGUGUUAUGAAUUGAUAGGAUUAAUGACUCAAUUCUAACUUCUUAUGCAGACACUGAAAAGGGUAAGGCUACGUUGAUGUUGGAAAUUGGUGGUAGUGAUCAUGCAUCCACCAAUAUUGAAGGUAUUCCUCCUUUGUAUUUUACUUGAUGAGCUUGAGUUACAUGAACUCCAAUCAUUUAGACAUUGACAUGUAUCUAAUUAAUUUGUAGUGCGUUCGAAACAUAAAAACGACCCUUUAAUGGCUGAAUUUUAAUUGACAUGUUAUGAACUUAAUUGCAGUUGUGAUGAAUUAUAAUGUGCCUGCUAUGAUAUCGUUUGGUGUGAUAUAAUUUUAAUAGUUUUGCAUUUCUUGCUUAUCGAUUCGUAUUUGAUCAAGUAAAAUAUCAUUAAUAACUGUAUAUUUAUUAAAUAAUGGUAAUUAGUAGAUAAAUCUUAUAGAUUCUUAACAAGUGACCUUGUUAUUUUUUUUUUAUUAGAAUAGUAUGAACUAAUGAAUAAUUUAAUGAUUGAUACUUGAUAUUUGCACAGGUGCCAUUCGUAAAAGAAAAUGCAAUGCAUUGGCUGGUACGUCUGUGGCUAUAUCAAGCCCAGAAGCUGGCCAAAUAGUCGUAGCUGAAGGCAAGUCUGUCGAAAACGAGACACGUGUGGCUAAUGCAAAGAAAAUGCGGCAAGAGAAACGCAAGGCCGCAUUGCUGAAUUACAAGCAACUUGCAGUGAAGCCUGCCGAGAGUUACCCAUCACUCUUUACGCGUGGGACAUUCUGUUUCGCCUUCAUGAGGAUAUUUUCAGCUUGGUUAAGGAUACUAUGAAUUGCAUUCAAUAUAAAUAAAUCCCACAAGUCAAUCUUUAAUAAAUUAGUAAACUGUGAAAUAUUUUGGUGAGAUGAGUGAAAGAAAGAUUGAAUAUAAUACUAACAUUAAAUAUGUUAUGAAUAUAAUGAAUGAAGUGUGAUCACGAUUUAUAUGACAAAUCGCUAAGAAUUAUUAGCUAUUGCUUAAGAAUGCAUACGAAAUUUAUAUAAGGUUAAUGAGUAUGAAUUAUUUUAACAUAUUUAAUGAAUUAUCAAACGUGUAUAUUAAAGUAAAUUGUAAAUAAAAACUUAGCAACUGUCACGAUUCUUAAUAUAACAUUUAACAAUUCAUAUGAUAUGACACUUCGUGAAAUAAAUCUAAACUGAAAAGUCCCUAUAUGAAUGACAAAUUCAUUUGUAACUAAUACAAUAUUAAUAAAUUAUGAGAAUAUAUAAUGCCUUUUUAAAGUGGUCUAAUCGGGGAAGCAGACUAUUAUAGAAUUAAAAGUUCAUAAAUUGCUUAUUAACUGUUUAAAAAUUACCAUUAUGUUUAGGGAUAAUUGCGUGAAAAUACACNNNNNNNNNNNNNNNNNNNNNNNNNNNNNNNNNNNNNNNNNNNNNNNNNNNNNNNNNNNNNNNNNNNNNNNNNNNNNNNNNNNNNNNNNNNNNNNNNNNNNNNNNNNNNNNNNNNNNNNNNNNNNNNNNNNNNNNNNNNNNNNNNNNNNNNNNNNNNNNNNNNNNNNNNNNNNNNNNNNNNNNNNNNNNNNNNNNNNNNNNNNNNNNNNNNNNNNNNNNNNNNNNNNNNNNNNNNNNNNNNNNNNNNNNNNNNNNNNNNNNNNNNNNNNNNNNNNNNNNNNNNNNNNNNNNNNNNNNNNNNNNNNNNNNNNNNNNNNNNNNNNNNNNNNNNNNNNNNNNNNNNNNNNNNNNNNNNNNNNNNNNNNNNNNNNNNNNNNNNNNNNNNNNNNNNNNNNNNNNNNNNNNNNNNNNNNNNNNNNNNNNNNNNNNNNNNNNNNNNNNNNNNNNNNNNNNNNNNNNNNNNNNNNNNNNNNNNNNNNNNNNNNNNNNNNNNNNNNNNNNNNNNNNNNNNNNNNNNNNNNNNNNNNNNNNNNNNNNNNNNNNNNNNNNNNNNNNNNNNNNNNNNNNNNNNNNNNNNNNNNNNNNNNNNNNNNNNNNNNNNNNNNNNNNNNNNNNNNNNNNNNNNNNNNNNNNNNNNNNNNNNNNNNNNNNNNNNNNNNNNNNNNNNNNNNNNNNNNNNNNNNNNNNNNNNNNNNNNNNNNNNNNNNNNNNNNNNNNNNNNNNNNNNNNNNNNNNNNNNNNNNNNNNNNNNNNNNNNNNNNNNNNNNNNNNNNNNNNNNNNNNNNNNNNNNNNNNNNNNNNNNNNNNNNNNNNNNNNNNNNNNNNNNNNNNNNNNNNNNNNNNNNNNNNNNNNNNNNNNNNNNNNNNNNNNNNNNNNNNNNNNNNNNNNNNNNNNNNNNNNNNNNNNNNNNNNNNNNNNNNNNNNNNNNNNNNNNNNNNNNNNNNNNNNNNNNNNNNNNNNNNNNNNNNNNNNNNNNNNNNNNNNNNNNNNNNNNNNNNNNNNNNNNNNNNNNNNNNNNNNNNNNNNNNNNNNNNNNNNNNNNNNNNNNNNNNNNNNNNNNNNNNNNNNNNNNNNNNNNNNNNNNNNNNNNNNNNNNNNNNNNNNNNNNNNNNNNNNNNNNNNNNNNNNNNNNNNNNNNNNNNNNNNNNNNNNNNNNNNNNNNNNNNNNNNNNNNNNNNNNNNNNNNNNNNNNNNNNNNNNNNNNNNNNNNNNNNNNNNNNNNCUUAGCAACUGUCACGAUUCUUAAUAUAACGUUAAACAAUUCAUAUGAAUUCUUCUAACAAUUCACGAUUCUUAAAACUUAAUUAGGAACUAUCACAAAAUUCGUUUAUCUUGCAUUCAUAGUUCACGAUACUGAAUUCACCAAUAUAUUUAGAGUACGAAUCAAGAAACAGUAACAUUGAGAAAUCAAAUAUAGUUUUCAAAAUUAUUUGGAGUUUUAAUCAACAAGUAAUUGGAAUUAAUGUAAUAAUAAAAAUUACGAAGAACAACACAUAUACCUGGGUGAUCCAUGAUUAUCUUUGAUAAAAAAAUUGUGAUGUUGAAUGAACGUCUGACGACAGAGGAAAUUGUGAUUCACGUCUGUAGAAGAGAAGUCAACUAAAGCAAUGACAUGUUAAUGGCUAAUCAUGAAUUAUCAAAUAUUUGUUUUGUUAAGAUAUGGAAGUAAUUUUAUUAUUAAAUCUAGUCAAAUCCUUGUAAAACACGAUUUGGUUUGUUAAGAUUUAGUUUGUUAAGAUUGGUUAAAUUACACUAAACUGCUCAUACUAUAUAGACGUGUUUUUGAUGUAUGAAUUUUAAAAUGAUUUCAAGCCAUUGGAUCUUGCAGAUCAAAUGGACAAAAAUAAUUCUUAUUUUAUACACUUAAUAUUGCUCUUAUUAUAGCCCCACCCUAUAUAUAUAUAUGUAGACAAUCAAGGCACCAUUUUUCAAUUAGACACUAGUCGAUAUUUCAAAAAAAUAAAAUAAAAAAAUCGAUGAUGUGAAUUUGAAAUUCGGUCCUUGUAAUUCGCCUUUUUUAACUUGCUGCUUAUAAUCCAAUUUUAAAAAAUUAAUUGUAGCGUCACAACAUGCUCGAAGAGACGAGUAUAUUUCCACAUAUUUGCUUUCGAGUGCGCGCCUGAGAUGGUGUGCGCCUAAAUUUAUUUUUAAAAAACUUACAAGUUAUUUGAACUUAUAAAAUAUUUCAAGAGUUUAUGAUAUAUAUUUUUUUGUCACAAUAUAUAAUUUCUUAAUAGUUUAUAAGUUGUCAAAGUGUUUGUAUAAUUGAAUCAAUUAUAAGUUAGAGAGAAUUUUUNAAAUUUAAUCUCGAUCAAUCCAAUACUGAUCUCAUGUGAUGAAUGAAUACUAUUUUUUCUUUUGUAAAUAAAUGAUACUAAUAUCAACAUUAUUGAAGAAUUAUAUUAUAUCGGAAGUCAUUGAUUUUUUUAUUUUUAUUUUUGAAAAUAGGAGUACCACCUAAAUUUAAAACCAAAAAAGAAAGGAAAAAGCAAAGAAUGCGAUUAGCUCUGUAUAAAUCAUUGGCAAACAACAACCGAAGCAUAUUACAUAUUCACGGAAACUCCGGCACCGGCUGAUCCUCAUCCGCCGGCGCCGCCAAAAUCCAGUCACCAUUCUCAUCAAGCACAACCCCCUUGUUCUUCUCCACCCACCAAGAACCGGGAAUCAAAUACUCAUCCUUCAAAUACUCGCUCGAUUUAUUCACGAGCGCCACGCUCCUCUUCACCUUGAGCUCGAACUCCGCCUCCGCCCCGUUCCACCCGGCCACCACGUGCAGCAUCCCCUGCAGGUUAUGCCAGUCUGAAGGAUUCGUGGAAUCCUUCAGGCUCGGCGACUUCCUGUUGUCAAUCACCAGCUCCACCCCCACGUCUCUGUACCCGAGUAUCGCGCUCGGGUACAGCGGGAUCAAAUCGAUCUUGUUCUUCACGUGCAGGAUUUUCAAAUUCGGGUAUCCCGCCACCCGAUCCCUAAAGGCCUUGUCGCCCACCUGAUCCAGGGAUGAAGUCGGGAUUUUAAAAAUAAACGAAUGAAAUUAUAUUUAAAUAUUUAAGAAAAAAGUUUGACUAGUCGAGACUAAAAUUAUGUAUUUAAAAAAAUUCAGAACGAAUAUUAAGAUUAAUUGUCUAUAAAUACAUAAAAUAUUUACAAAUUUUAGUUUUAACCAAUAUAAUUUUAUUGGUCACCAAAAUGCAUGAUGUUUAAUUAUUUGGAAUUUUAGACGAAUAAAAUUUCGAUCACACUUGAUCUCGUAUGGAAGUCGAAAAUUAAUUACGUAGCAAUUCAAAAGUAAGAAUUAUCUUUUAAUAUAUAUGCAUGUCAGAAUUGAUAUAUGUUCGAUAAUAAUAAUGUUUAGAAUUAAAUAUGAUUGGAUGUAUAUUUCGGCUGAAUUCCAACAAAUUAAAAAUUUACGUUUUUUAUUUAAAAUAAAACAAAAUUGAAUUAAAAGUCAAAAUUUAAAUAUAACUAUAAUGUAUUUUAACUCUAAAUAUAAAAUGCAAGCUAAAUAUAGUUUAAAAACAAGCGAUCCCUGACCUGGGGGCUGCCAAACACGACGGCCGCGACAGGAAUGUCGCGGACGCCGUUCUCGACGAGGUCGAACGCGGCGAGGAUCGCCAGCGACGCGCCGAGGCUGUGCCCCGUCAGCGUGAUGCUGAGGCGAUCCUCCUUGUAAAGCUCCCUCAGCUGCGCGAUCUUCGUCUGCAGCUGCGAUCGCGCGCUGAGUUUGGUGAAGGAGGAGUUCGGAUCGGAGGAGACGUAUAUCGUCAGUCCACCCGCUCAUGGACUUUCGGCACAUUCUCGCCGUCUCAUCGCUGCUGCUACUGCCGGCGGCGGCGGCAUCGGCGCCGGCAAGCAGCUGCGCGGCGGACUGGGGGGUGGCGCCGAGGACGUUGAUCCACUCGUAGUUGCGGGAGGUGCCGCGCCAGACGACGUAGAUCUCGCGGCGGCCGAGGGCGGCGGUGGCGGCGUCGGUGGUGACGGCGAUGUAGCCGAUCCAGUUGGACUCGCGGUCCCAGGCCUGGCGGGAGAGGGAGUGGAGGAAGACGGCCUCGGCGACGCUGACCUUGGCGGUGGCGUAGAGGAAGCAGGAGACCUGGUAGUCGGCGGCGGCGGACUCCAGCAUGACCUUCUCAAAGAAGGAUUGCUUGCCGUAGCGGCUGCUGCCGGCGUACUUGGAGUUGGCGUCGUUGUUGAAGGCGUCGUAGGUGGCUUGGCAGAAGUCGCCGCAGCGGAGGAUGAGGCGGCGGAGCUCCAGGUUUAGGGGCUCCAGUAGGCCGCUCCAGUCGUUGCUGCCGAGCAGCUCCGGCCACGGCGCCGCCGCUUCUGCGUUUGUUGACGCCUGAGUUUCUUCCAUGGCUAGCUAGAAUUGAAUGAUUAAUUUUUUAUCGAAAUUUUUGAAUUUGAGAAAGAUAUGAGACAAGUAGGAAUUGAAGAAGAUAUGUUCAUUAUUAGAGGAUAGGGUUUGUGUGAGUGUUGUGUGAACCAUUCAUUCAUUCCAAUUAGUGUAAAGGUUAAUUAGCAAUUAUGGGAGAGAGACUGAGAUUGAGAGUGAGAGUGGUAUGUGUGAUAUAACAAUGAUGUAAAGGUUAAAUUUAUAUAAUUUUGGAACUAAUAAUGUGGAAUUGAAGAUUAUGUUGCAUUUACGUGUUAUUGGUGUAAUAUAUAUUGUUAUGUUGAAAAUGAGAUGGGCAUGUUAAUUAAUGCCGCUAUGAAUAAGUUUGAAUAAAAAUAAUAAAUUCGAUAUAAAUUUUCAUUCAACAUAAUUCUACAAGAUGGGUUUAUUAGACGAGUGAAUUACAAACUUUGAUUAAUUUCAAUAAAUUUGAAGAAGAUUGAAUCACAAGUUGAGUUCAUAUCGUCUACUAGCUAGCUGAGUGUUUUUAUUGACAAAAAUUUAUAGUAUGAGUUUUUCCUCGUUAUAUAGGUAUGCUAAGUGAAAAGUGACCGUUCUUGUAAUUAAAAGUGAUAUGAGUUGGCCUAGCGGUAGGAGGUUAAUGCCCGAGAGCCCGAGACCUCAAGUCCUUGGUUUGAAUUUUACGUCGCACGGUUUUUCAAUUUUUUUAUUUAUUUAUGUAAUUUAUAUAAAAAAAUGUAAUAAUAUUUCGAAUAAAAUUAAUAAUAAUAAUAAAUAAAAGUGAUAAUUUUUAUAAUGUGUGAGUGUGUUGAUUUAGUGUUAAAAUAAUUAACGUUUAAAGCCAAAGACCUUGAAUUCGACUCCAUUGUAAGUUUGUAACAUGUUUUUUUUAUUUAUCUUUAUUCAAUAAAAAAAUGUAUUUUCUCAUUUCACGAAAUAUUUUUCUCGACUAUGUGGACACAUGAUUUAAAAAAAAAUUAAUUAUAUAUUUGAUGAGUAAAAGGAAAGUCCUACAAAUUAAAAAAGUGAUAUAGUUAGUGAGUUUAUUAUAUAAGAAUUAAAAGAUAAUAGUAGUUAAUGAGAUUAUGUCCGAGGUGAAUAGGAAAAUAUUCUAUAAACGGACAAAAAUAUAGAGUUAGAAAGAUGAUGAUUGUGAACGUUGAGAGCGUGAGUGAGAGUGCACUUUUUACUAGUAAUAGUUACAGCCUGCAGGCCCAAGAUCGGAACAUAUUUUGGAGGCCCAAACGCAUUUAUAACUAUCUAUGCAAGCAUUAAGAUCAAAAUGAAGAAUAACAUGCAAGUAUCUGGGUACAAAAGUUUAACCAGCUAGGGCUUUUAAAAAAAAAAAAUACCAAGACGGGUAUUUCUUUUAAGAAUAGUGCUCCUCAUAAAGUAGAUUACAAAGUCAACGAGAAAAAUCAGCAAUCCAAUAGACUGGUUGCUGAUAAGAAUGCGCAAAUUGCAUAAGACUAUGAGCAAUACUAUUCGUCUCCCUAUACAUAUGAUUAACACUAAUAAGCAUAGACGAUCCAACAAUUGAAAGAAUGUUCCAGAAUAUCAUCUGACAAGAUUCGACCCUCAUUUUAAUUUGGGGCAGGUCCCCUAAACAUGUAUGUGUAUACAUCUAUACACUAUAUUAUUAAAUUUCUUUAGUUAACAAAAACAAAAUUUUCUCAUGCCUAUAUAUUACUUAUAAUAAAUUUGUAAGUAAUAUAUGAAUCCAUAUAUCAUUAAAAAGGUAUGUAGAACAUAUACCAAAAAAACCAUUAAUUUAUUAUGGAGUAGUUCCUUAAAAAAAAUAUUAUUUUAUUUAGGAUUUAUUGACUGUAAAUUCAUAAAUUAUUUGUGAAUUUUGAUUCUUUUUUCAUGUUCUAAGUUGGUGAAUAAAUUCACGAAUUUGGAUAAUUUCAAGUCGAAAGUGACGUGACAUUCGAAUUUUCCCAAUUUUUCAAAAUCCCUCGUGUGUAAAAUUUUUAAUGUCAUGUCAUGUCAGUUUUGAGUUGAUCGAAACCUUCAUUCUGGAUUUUUUUUUAAAUAAUAAAAAUUCAUACAUUCAUUCAUCAAUUUUAUAGAGUAUGAUGAGAAUCAGAAUUCACUUAUACUCCCUCCCUCCCUCCUUGAACCAUAUUCCUUUAUUUUUCAUAGUUUAUUUUUUAAAACAAUUCCACUAACUAUAUUAUCCUUACAAUUCUCACAGACACGCCAAUUGCCACAAAUGGACCCAUCACUUUUCAUUUUAAUUGGUUCACUAAUCAUUAUCGUUACUUUUUAAAUCAUCGAUUUUCCUAAUUUGUCGAACUUCUUCUUCGCUCAUCAAAUACACAACUAAUUUUUAUUAAAAUAUGUGUAGCCUCCCCCCAUACUCACUCAUCAAACACACAAUUAUUUUUUAUUAAAAUCUGUGCCGUUUUUCCUUACAAAGAUGUUUUAGAAACAGAUGGAGUACUAAUUUAUAGAUACAACCAAUUACACUUUUAUUUAUUAAUACUCCCUAAGUAAGAACCAAAUACACAAAUUACUACACGAUUGAUUAUGCAAUAGAAACACAAAUUCGCAAUAGAGAGGAUCCCGUCCGGUGUGGAUCACUCCGGCACGGCGGGGCAAUCGUCGUCGAGCGGCGGCUUCAAAACCCAUUCCCCUUCUUCAUUAAGCAUCAUCCCUCUAUUCUCCGCCACCCACCACGACCCCGGGAUUUUACACUCAUCUUUCAGAAACGCGCACGACUUAUUCACCAACGCCAAGCUCCUCUUCACCGCCACCUCGAACUCCCCCUCCGCCCCGUGCCACCCCGCCACCACGUGCAGCAUCCCCUGCAAGUUAUGGAAGUCCAUCAAAUCCUUCGGAAUCACCCGCAGCCACGGCGACUUCCUGCUGUCCACCACCAUCUCCACGCCGGCGCCGCUGUACCCGAAUCCCUGCGGGUAGAACGGGAUCGGGUCGAGCACGUUCUUCGUGUGCAGGAUCUUCAGGUUGCGGUGCGUCCGCAGCCUCUCCACGAACGCGCCGUCCCCGACCCGCGGGCAGCCGAAGACGACGGCCGUCACGGGGAUGUCGGGGACGACGACGUUUUCGACGAGGUCGAACGCCGAGAGCACGGCCAGCGCCGCGCCCAGGCUGUGCCCCGUCACGACUAUGCUGAGGUUUUCAUCUUUGUAGAGACCUUGAAGUUGAAGAAUCUGGGCGCGGAGCUGAUCGCGGGCGCUGAGGGUUUGGGAUUGGGAAUUAGGGUUUGAGGAGGUGUAGAUUCUGACCAGCCGUCCAUGAUUGGGGCGGGGUCGGCGCGGGGUGAUGGCGGAGCGGGGACGGGCCGAGUGGCGUCGACCACUCGUGGCUGGUGCCGCGCCAGACGACGUAGACUCGCGGCGCGCCGGGGAGGUGGAGGGGAGGUGGCGACGUAGCCAUGAAGCUGGUCUCGCGUGGGAGGGGAUGUCGAGGGUGGCGGUGGCGUAGAGGAAGGAGGAGAUCUGGUAGGCGGAGGCGGAGGGGAACUUGACCUUGUGGAAGAAGGAUUUCUCGCCGUAGCGGGAGGAGCCGGCGUAGGGGGAGUUGUCGUCGUC